rnacentral:lncRNA from 1 species
CGUCGACAUCCUCACCACGGCGACGGAGUCGUCCCCCAUCGCGUCCCCCAGGCUGCAGUGGGCGCACGGCUCCCUGAACGCGCUCUCCUGGGGCCUCCUGCUGCCGGUGGGCGCGGCGCUGGCGCGGUACCUCCGGCCCUGCGCGUCGGCGGGGCCGGCGUGGUUCUACGGGCACGCGGCGGUGCAGGCGACGGGGUACGCGCUGGGGGCGGCCGGGUUCGCGCUGGGGAUCGCGAUGGGGGCGGCGUCGCCCGGGGUGACGUACAAGCUGCACCGCGGGCUGGGCAUCGCGGCGGCGACGGCGGGGAGCCUGCAGACGCUGGCGGUGUUCUUCCGGCCCAAGACGACGAACCGGUACCGCAAGUACUGGAAGUCGUACCACCACCUGGUGGGGUACGGGUGCGUGGUGAUCGGGGUGGUGAACGUGUUCCAGGGCUUCGAGGUCAUGGGGCUCGGCGCGUCCUACUGGAAGCUCGGCUACUGCAUGGCGCUGGCGACGCUCGUCGGCGGCUGCGUGGCGCUGGAGGUGAACGCAUGGGUGGUGUUCUGCCGGAGGCAGCACGAGGAGAAGCUCAUGCGGCGGGAGGUGGAGGACGUCGUCGUCAAGGACAGGGCCGCCGCCUUCUAGGUUCUAGCUAGCGCGCCGCGCCAUGAUCGGCGCCGUUGCUUCCCUCUGUUUUACACCGGCACGCAGGGCUUUUUUUUGAGAGAGCGAAGAUACAUUGAGAAUGCAGACACGGCCACGAAGUAAUUGAAUGGGUGCGGUCACGCGCCACGUUACCGGGGACAGGCAGUGCUUAUUGGUUUGUCGGAAGGUGGGCGUGUGAAUUCCUUCCCGGGCUGGUGUGUGCCGUUGUACUCCACUGUUUUUCUUCUCCUAGUUCUUGAUCUAUAGUUCUACUAUACGAUAGUACAUAGAGGAAUUCAUGUACAAGUUGUUCCACUUUUUCAGUUUCUCAGUAUAACUUUGCACCUAGCCGAUUCUUGGUAAAGAAACCACGUCAUGAAUUGUGAAAAAAGGUCUGCUUUUUUUACGAAAGAGGCACCACAUCUCUUUUUUUUUUUGGCAGAGCUCUGCGCCGGUGCGCCUGCCGAAACUUUUGGCCGGCUGCGCGCGGGUCAUACGAUCCAUCAACCCCCGCGCGUCUGCAUCCUUGGAUCUGCAUGCAACAUCUUUUUCCCCGAUGCAGCAAAAAUCUGACACGACGCAGCAAUUUUUUCAACGCUUGCAACAAAAAACAAAAAAUAUAGUAAAAAAAUAUCUACGUGAUCGUAGCAAAAAAACGAAGCUGAUGUUGCGUGGUAGCAAAAGUCAAACGCCGUUUGUAACAAAUAUCUACGUAAACGUGUAUGCAACUUUUUAGUGAACGGUUGCAGCAAAAAAUAAUGCAGGUUGUAGCAAAAAUUAACACGGUUGUAGCAAAAGUAAAAAACAUCGAUUGUAACGAAAAAUCCGACGAACUGGAGUUGCAACCAAACGUAUAUGCAUCUUUUUUACUGAACAUAUGUAGAAAAUAAAAACGUUUGUAGCAAAUAUGACGCUGGUUGCAAUAUUUUAGACAGAAAAAUGUUGCAUGCCCAGUCAGCGCUCAGCGCGCGAGCCGCGUGCGGCCGGCCGAACGGUUCGACCGGCGCACCGGCCAGAAACGAUUCCCUUUUUUUAAGGAUAACCUCCGGCCUCUGCAUGAGAGCAAUGUAUGUGGUCCCUUAAAUAAGAAUGCAAACACAAAGUCUGAAGUUCCGAAUAAUCUCUAACGAGUAAACAUAAACCAAAUAAUAAAAGUAAAGGAUGCCACAACCGGGAAAAAUAGGCCAAGUUGCCUAGCCAUCUAUCCUAUUACUGGACCGUCAUGGAGACCGGUUAUAGAUAUCCCGUGCUACUGUCUCCCAUCGGAUAGACCCAGUAACCAAAGGCUUCUUGAUUUCCGCAUGAGUGAGUAAGGACCACAUACGGAUGAAUGCCGACGCCCUGUGAAGUACCUGCAAAAAAUUUAUAUGUGUUUGUCUGUUUAAAGACCAAGUCAUUCCUUCAAUUCCAUAUCGCCCAAAGAAGUGUGCAAACUCCUAUGUGAAUAUGUCUAGCCAUAAUCAAGUCCACUCCAUUGAGCCACGCACCAAACAACGUGUCAAUGCUAUCAGGCGGUAUGAUAUUACAUGCUAUGAGGAUUGUCUGCCAUAAGAUUUUCGCUAAUGGGCAAUGGAGAAAAAGGUGUUUGAUUGUCUCCUCAUCAUCACAAAAGCUACAACGAGUACUCCCCUCCCAAUUGCGUCGUGUCAAAUUAUCCUUAGUGAGAAUCACCUUCUUGUGAACAAACCACAUGAAUACUUUGAUUCUUAAAGAAACCUUGAUCUUCCAAAUAUGAAUCGACUUGGGGACUACUGUUGUGUCAAUAAGGUUCACAUGCAUGGAUUUCAUAGAAAAGAUGCCCUUAUUUGUUAGCUUUCACUGAAGCUUGUCAGACUCAUCCGAUAGGUGAACAUCCAUUUGUCUUCUCACUAAGUGGAUCCACUCAUCCCAUCGAUGUCCUAUCAAAUCACGUCUGAAUUGAAUAUUUAGAGAAUUUGAUUGAAAUACUAUGGCAACGUACGCAUCCUUACGUUGCACAAUAUUGUAGAGAGACGGAUAUUGUUUGGCUAGAGGCGUCUCCCCCCCAACAAAGUAUCUUUCCAGAAUCUCGUAGACCGACCAUCUCCAAUGAUAAAUUUAGUUCUAUGGAAAAAUGAUGCUUUCACUUUCAUCAAACCUUUCUAGAAUGAUGAAUCAUUGGGUCUUGGUGUGAGCUGGGUCAAGCUUUUAGAAUGCAAGUACUUAUUACGCAAAAUUUGUAUCCACCUACCUUCAGUCUCUACAGAUAGUCUCAAUAGCCACUUACUAAGCAGGCAUUUGUCCUUAACCUCUAAAUUUUCAAUUCCAAGACCUCCCUCGUCCUUGGGUCUACAUAUAAUGUCCGAUCUAGUAAGUCUGUACUUCUUAUUUAUUUCAUCAUUUUGCCAAAAGAAACGAGAUCGAUAAAAGUCCAAUCUUUUGCGUACUCCUACAGGUACCUCAAAGAAGGAGAGAAGGAACAUAGGCAUACUUGUCAUGACCGAGUUAAUCAAAAUCAGCCUACCGCCAUAAGGCUAAAGCUUGACCUUCGAGCAGCUUAGCUUUUUCUCAAAAUGAUCCUCAAUACACUUCCACUCUUUGUUUGAAAGUUUACGAUGGUGAAUGGGUAUGCCUAAAUAACUGAACGUAAGCUCCCGAACUCAUAUCUGAAGAGUUGUUUAUAAUCAUCUUGUUCAUCUUUGGCUCUUCCAAAACAGAAAAAUUCGAUCUUGUGGAAAUUAAUUUUAACCCCGGCAACUGUUUGAAAAGGCAAAGGAUAAGUUUCAUGUUUCUUGCUUUUGCUAUAUCGUGCUCCAUAAACAAUAUAGUAUCAUCAGCAUAUUGUAGAAUAGACACCCACCAUAAACUAGAUGUGGUACCAGUCCACCUACCUGACCUUCCUCUUUAGCCCUUCCUAUUAGAAUUGCUAACAUGUCCGCAUUUACAUUAAAUAGGAUGGGUGACAUAGGGUCUCCCUGCCGGAGCCCUUUGUGCGUUUGGAAAAAAUGACCAAUGUCAUCAUUGAUUUUAAUUCCAACGCUCCCUUUUUGUACAAAUGAUUUGACAUUCCCUCUCCAUAUGUCAUCGAAUCCCUUCAUACGCGAAGCUUGUUGUAGGAAAGACCAUUUAACCUUGUCGUAUGCCUUCUCGAAAUCCACCCUGAAGAUAAACCCGUCUAGUUUACUCGAGUGGAUUUCAUGUAGGGUUUCGUGAAGGACAAGCACACCCUCAAGUAUGUUUCUCCCCGACAUGAAGGCUCUUUGACUAGGUUGCACGACAACAUGUGCAUUCUGUGUCAAUCUAUUAGUUCCAACCUUUGUGAACAUUUUGAAGCUCACAUUAAGAAGGCAAAUUUAUCUGAAGUUUUCAAUGUGUACUGCCCCUCCUUCUUUGACAACAACAUAACUGUCCCAAAGUUAAGGUGGAAAAGUUGCAGAUUGUCAUUAAACAAAUCCUGAAACAUCGCUAGUAAAUCACCUUUAAUAAUGUGCCAACAUUUAUUAUAAAACUUGACCGGGAACCCAUCCGGUCCUGGCGCCUUAUUAUUUUUCAUUUGUGAAAUUGCCUCAAACACCUCUUUCUUCAUAAAGGGUGCGGUUAAUAUCUCAAUCUCGUUUGUCCUGAGGAAUAUCACCCACCCACUGCUCAUUCAUGGACAACGUAUUGUCCUCAGGAGGUCCAAAUAGUUGCUUAUAAUACUCAGAUAUGUACACCUUUAGGUUUUCAUGCCCAACAACUGUACCAUCAUCUUGUUCAAGUUGAUAUAUUAUUUUCUUUGUGUUUUCCAUUGGCAAUAAGAUGGAAAAAUUAUGUGUUGUCAUCCCCUUGAAUGACGUGAUGCACUUUCACUCUAACUGCCCACUUCAGUUCUUCUUCUGUGAGGAUCUGUUUCAGAUUUUGCUCUGCCUCCGCUCUUAAUGCCCUCUCAUUAUCUUCCAAGAGGGCGGAUUCGGCUUUUAAAUCAAGCUCAUUUAUAAAUUGAGAUGACAACCAGUGAUACAAAGCUCCCCAAUAAAAAAUUGCAAUUGGGUACUUGGAUAAUCGACCCAACGCCCCCAUAGAAAGGGAGAUGAAGCAGGAUGAAGUACCACCAGAAAGGAGAUGAAGUGUCCCUCGCUGACGAUCAAGAAGGAGGAAAAUCUGAUGCCCUCCAUAAGAGACCAACGCAGCGGCGGCGACCCAACACACAAAUACAAGCUUUGUGACUCCACACCGACUUUGGAUCAUGCAUCGACACAACAACGAACCAGAGCAAAAUAUCCCUUUCAAGGUUUAAGUCGCCGCUACACCAGCCUUGAUCCAUUCCCAAGGGACAGCAGGAACACAUCUCCUUCACACAUUAACAGAUAUGUGUCAGGGUUGGUUGUUCUAGGAUUUUAAAUUUCCAUCAAAAUGACCCUUGUGCAUACGAGCCCCAGGAAUACUGUUAGGUAGUGCACAAUUCCUUCAUACAAAUAUCCAAGCAAUUACAUAAUUUUGGAGUACAAGACCAUCAUGGCCUAUGGAGUACAACAAAAUUGUGGGUGGUCGGGAUGCUGCCGACCUUUUUAGUGAGAAAACAUGGCAGAAUUAUCGCGUGUAGUGAUGAGGACAUCGAUACCAUAGUUACACCCACGACCCCUGUUACUACAUAUAUUGGGCCAAUUACUAGAGCUCGUGCACGCCAAUUAAAUGCUCAGGUGCAUCCAUUUCUUGGGAAUGAUUCUAAUGUUCAUGAGAAUAUUAUGCUGCCUAAACUAGAUACAUUUAUGUUUAUUACUAAUGAAGGGACUAGGAUGGACAAGAGGGGUGAACACUGGAGCAGGAUCAAGCAUGAAGAUGAAGGCGUGCACAAAGGAAACUAGAACCUCGUUUCUAGUGGAGUUUUCAGCAUUUUGAAGCCACAUGAUGACAUGCAAGGACAUGGUCGAAAUAUACAAGAUGAUCUUCCAUGAAUUUUCUCCAAAGUUUAUUAUAGGUUCCGCGUCACCUUAUUUUGGGGUUAGGUCCAUGUAAUUUCGAAAUACAAUUUAGUAGGAUCGUUUUAGAGUUUGUAUUAUAAGGGAAACAACUUAUGAGGUGUUUUCACUCCCAUCUUGUUAAGGUUGGACGAAAUCCCCUCCUUUCCCCCUAUAAAUACAACACUUAAGGCAUUGUUUAAACUUGGGCUUUGUUUAGAUUAAAGUUUGCUGCAGCUGCAACCCAUUCUGCAACUAGACCAAGAUGUCACAUAACCCCACUUUUAUCAAUAAAUCUUUCUUCUUAUAUUCGUAAUAUUCAAAUUGUAAUUUCAGUUUCUUACUUGUUCUUCAUUUGCAUGCAGGGAACAGAUCCUCGUGAUCAGGUUGAUCAUGCUCCGACAUGAUCAAUAACCUCUCAGAGUUGGUUUAGCAAUUGCUAAGGCGAAACCUCUUUGCACUGUCGUAGUCGGAUCAUCAAAAUCUAUUACACCGAAAAGGAUAGUUACCAUCUCAUCAAAAGAUGGUCCACCUUCACCUCUAUCAGGUAGUUGGCAUGCAACGAUCGUCAUUAAUUAGCUAAAUUCCCGAUGGGAUGGAAAUUCGAUCGUGUGUAUCCUUAACAGAGGGGGAAGGUGGGCCGCACAGGAGGACGAGGAGGGGCUAAAAUUUUCCUCCUCCGCAAACGGUUAGCAUGGAAAACCCUAUUCGGCGCUCCACGCGCCGGUUUAAGGGCAAUUUUCCUAACCGGUGCGUGCACCGUGUUAGCAGGCCUGGCCCAUUUACCUGUUUUUUCUUCCUCGUGUGAAAGGUAAAAAAGGAAGGCGACGGGGAGUUCGAACUCAGAAUCUGUUGGUUUACGUACUAGCGCACUCACCACUAUGGCAAAUACACCGAUGUGAAAAGUCAUAUUUUUCCCUUUUUUAUUUUCUCGAGUUCGCAAGAAGCCCCGAUUUUGGGAUGCUUGUAGAACUUUCUAAACCGGUUUUAUGUGGUUCGUUGGGUAAUUUUCCAUCUGGUUCUUAUUCGUUUUUUCUCUCUAUUUUAACGUUUCUUUUUCAAAAAUGAUGAAUUUUUUAAAAUUUUGAUGAACUAUUUAUAAAAAACUAUGAACUUUUUUACAAAUUUGGUGAACUUUUUUUAAGAUCGUUGAACUUUUUUUAAGAUCAAGGAACUUUUUCAGACAUGAUGAACUUUUUCGGAAUUGAUGAGAUUUUUUUCAAAUUCGAAUGGACUUUUUUAAAAUUCAUGAUUUUUUUCAUUUUUUGGAAAUCGAUGAACUUUUUUCAUUUUUUAAAUUGUACCUUUUUCCUUUUUAAGUGCAUAAUUGAAAGGAGGGAGCAGAAAAAACCAAACGGAUUUUAGCGAACGAAUAGUGACGAAUAGAGAACGAGCGAAGGAUUAGUGGGUGAGGCCUAAUAGGGAUCCCUAGUGUGCGGCAACUAAGUUAUUGGGCGCUGAAGGCCGGCAUUUCGUAUUUGACUCUAAAAACGUUAGUUAAUGUGCAUUUUUGUUAACUGAUGCCCGUGUCGUUCAAACUGGGCCAACCCAUCUAGGCGCUUAUGAUGUUUUUGUUUUUUUGAAAAUUCUAUGAACUUAUUUGAAUAUCGAUGAACUUUUUUUCAAUUUCAAAGAAUAAUUUUCACAAUAAAUGAACUUUUUUAAAUAAGGAUAAUUUUUUUUGAAAUUUUAUGAACAUCUUUUUGAAAAUGGAUGGACUUUUUUAAGAUUUAUGAACUUUUUUUUAGUUCAAUGAACUUUUGUAAAGAAUACAUGAACUUUUUUUGAACUUUUAUGCACUUUUUUUCAAAUUUAUUGAACUUUCUAAAAAAUUACUAAACUUUUUCUAAAUUGGAUGAAAAUUUUUCAUUUUAAAUGAACUUUUUUUCAAAUCCUGAACUUUUUCCAUAAUUGAUGAACCUUUUUUAAAGAUAUGAACUUUUAUCUUCAAAUGUGUAAACCUUUUUUAUUUUAUAUUUUUUCGUAAUAGAAAAUUAAAAAGGAAGAAACUGGACAACUUUUUAAUGGACCGACCCAUGCUUGCAGCGCUGCACGCGCCGGAUCGGUAACGGCUGCCUGUAGCGCUGCAUAGGAGCUUCCGUGGAGGCGUCGUAUAGGAGCUUGAUACGUCUCAAACGUAUCUAUAAUUUUUUAUGGUUUCAUGCUGUUAUCUUAUCAACUUUGGAUGUUUUAUGUACCUUUUAUAUCUUUUUGGGACUAACUUAUUAAUUCAGUGCCAAGUGUCAGUUCCUGUUUUUUUUUGUGUUUUUGACUCUUUUCAGAUCUGAUUUUGGAACGGAAUCCAAACGGAAUAAAAUCUCCGAGAUAAAUUUUUCAGAACAAAAGAAGAUCGGGGGACUUGAGGGCUGAUGACCCACAAGUAUAGGGGAUCAAUCGUAGUCCUUUUGAUAAGUAAGAGUGUCGAAUCCAACGAGGAGGAGAAGGCUGUGAUAAACGGUUUUCUGCAAGGUAAUAACUGCAAGCACUGAAAGUAGCGGUAACAAGUGAUGGUGUAGUGAGGUGAAACAUAACAAGCGAAAAGUAACAAGUAACAAGUAGUAGCAACGGUGAAGCAAGUGGCCCAAUCCCUUUUGUAGCAAGGGACAAGUCUGAAGAAAGUCUUAUAAGUGGAAAGCGCUCCCGAGGACACACAAGAAUUUCUGUCAUGCUAGUUUCAUCAUGUUCAUAUGAUUCGUGUUCGUUACUUUGAUAGUUUGAUAUGUGGGUGGACCGGCGCUUGGGUACUGCCCUUACUUGGACAAGCAUCCCACUUAUGAUUAACCCCUCUCGCAAGCAUCCGCAACUACGAAAGAAGAAUUAAGACAACGUCUAACCAUAGCAUUAAACUAGUGGAUCCAAAUCAACCCCUUACGAAGCAACGCAUAGACUCGGGCUUAAGCUUCUGUCACUCCAACAACCCAUCAUCUACUUACUACUCCCCAAUGCCUUCCUCUAGGCCCAAAUAUGGUGAAGUGUUAUGUAGUUGACGUUCACAUAACACCACUAGAGGAAAAACAACAUACAUCAUAUCAAAAUACCGAACGAAUACCAAACUCACAUGACUAUUAUUAGCAUGACUUAUCCCAUGUCCUCAGGAACAAAAGUGACUACUCAUAAAGCAUAAUCAUAAUCAUGAUCAGAGGUGUAAUGAAUAGCAUCAAGGAUCUGAACAUAAACUCUUCCACCAAGUAAUCCAACUAGCAUCAACUACAAAUAGUAAUCAACACCACUAGCAACCUUACAAGUACCAAUCGGAGUCAUGAGACGGAGAUUGGUUACAAGAGAUGAACUAGGGAUUGGAGAGGAGAUGGUGAUGAUGAAGAUGCCUCCCCUCCGACGAGAGGAGUGUUGAUGAUGACGAAGGCGACAAUUUCCCCCUCCGGAAGGGAAGUUUCCCCGGCAGGAUCGUCCUGCCAGAGCUCUAGAUUGCAUCUGCUCAAGUUCCGCCUCGUGGCGGCGGCGAAACCACGAAAAAGCUCCCGAAUGAUUUUUUCUGAAAUAAAUCCUUCAUAUAGCAAAAGAGGGGGGCCAGUGGGCCGCCAGGGUCCCCACAAGCCCUGUUGCCGCGACCAGGGGGGUAGGCUGUGGCAACUAGGCUUGUGGGCCCCUAGUUGCUCCCCUCUGACACUUCUUUCGCCUAGUAAUUUUUAUAAAAUCCAAAAAAAAUCCACGUUGAUUUUCAUGACAUUUGGAGUUGCGCGGAAUAGAGCACUCAGACUUGCUCCUUUUCCAGUCCAGAAUUCGAGCUGCCGGUAUUCUCCCUCUUCAAAUAAACCUUGCAAAAUAAGAGAGAAAAGGCAUAAGUAAGGUUCCACAAAGUAUAAUAACAGUCCAAAAAGCGAUAAAUAUCAACAUGAAAGCAUGAUGCAAAAUGGACGUAUUAACUCCCCCAAGCUUAGACCUCGCUUGUCCUCAAGCGAAAACCAAGACCCAAAACAUGUCCACGUGUUUAGGGAUGAAGGUGUUGAUAAAACAAAAUACGGACAUGAGGGCAUCAUGACCAUACAUAGAACAGGAACACAUCAUAGAGAUUCUUAUGGGAAAGUAACAAUUGCUUCACAAAGCAAAGUAUGAAACAAAAACCUUAUCGAGAAGUGGCCAACAACCGUCCAAAGUCAUUGAAGCAAUUGCAAUUUAUCACAUUAUCAGAAAGAGUCCAAUAAGAGCUUGUAAGGCAAAUCCACAUACUCAAUCAUCUCUUUUGUUUUCCAUCAUUGUUACUACUCACGUGGUACUCAUGGUAUUGAAGUUUCAGUUGGACACAGAGAAAGAUAGGGGCUUAUAGUUUGCCUCCCAACCAUUUACCUCAAGGGUAAAGUCAACAAUAAUAAAGCAUAAGUACUUAGCUCCAAGUUGAUAUAUGAAUAUAGAUCUUUCCCAAGCAUAUGACGUUCACCAAGAAAAAGGCUAAAUAAGGAAUUGGUGAAGAUCACCAUGACUCUUACAAGGGCAAAAAGUAAAUGUACAAGAUAGGCCCUUCGCAGAGGGAAGCAGAGGUUGUCAUGCGCUUUUGAUGUUUGGAUGCGUGUCCUCUUAGUGCGGAGGAACGUCACUUUAUAUUGCCUCCUAUGAUAAAGAACUUUAUUAUGCAGUCUGUCGCUUUUAUGUCUUCCUCAUCACAGGUUCGUACAAAGCUUAUUUUCCACACACUAAUAGAGCAUACAUAUUAGAGAGCAAUUUUUAUUGCUUGCACCGAUGACAACUUACUUGAGGGAUCUUAUUCCAUCCAUAGGUAGGUAUGGUGGACACUCAUGGCAAAACUGGGUUGAAGGUUUAUGGAUGCACAAGUAGUAUCUCUACUUGGUGCGGGAUUUUUGGCUAAUAUGAGGUGGAAGCAAUCGUCACAUGCUAAGGGAUCUCUAAUCAUAUAACAUUGUUUGGAACUAAGCAAACACAAUUCAUUAUGUUGUCUUCCUUGUCCAACAUCUACUUCUAAGCAUGUAAUAGUUUGGCUAGUGCUCACAAUUAUAGAAAGUGCCUAAGAUGAUAUAUUUAUAUGUGAACCUCUCUGUCCUUAUUACUUCUUAUUAAUUGCAACAAUGAUUGAGGUCUAUGUUGGUCUAUCUCAACAAGUUUCAAUCAUCAUACUUGUUAUAAGUGAAGCUAUCACUUUCCAUAAUAUCAUCUCAUGAUCUCUCAUGCUAUCGUUCUUUUCAUACUUUUGAUCACGGCACAAAACAAAGCCCUUGACUAAGAUACUCUUUAUUAUAUAGCUCGCAAGCUCGAAUACAUCGGGGGAGAGACAAAAGUAAAAGACUCAAUCUAAAACAGUAAAGACUUAUUCCACUAAGAGAAGAAAUAAAAACUGAAAAGGAAAGGACUAAAACAAAGGUAAAAGCAAAAGAUAUAAAGGUGAUACGAUACCAGGGCAACUCCCCCAAGCUUGGCAAAAGCCAAGGGGAUUGCCCAUACCAAUGCUUAGUUGUCUUCCUUUGGUGGUGAUGGUGGUGGUGUUGUUGAAGUAGUCUUGAGCUUGUCUAAUUUCCACUUGAGCAAAAAGUUCUGCUCCCUCAGAUCGUCAUUUUCCUCCGCAAGCUUCAACACUCUAUGACAAAGUUCCUGCUUACUCUCGUGCAAGAAACGAGAAGGGAUAAACAAGGUCUUAGGCUUCUUCCUUUGGUCAGGGAGGCUUGACUUCUUGAACUCCACGUGAGUGCAUCCAGGUUGGGGUAAAGGAGCCUCCUCUUCAUCGGAACUCGUUUGUUCCUUCCCCUUGGGCUCAUAGUCCUCUUCCUCGUCAGUAGUCCAGCCAUAAGGCUCCAAGUCCCCAUUAAUCCUGGAGUUAGCAUGAUCAUCGGCCAUAUAGAUCUCUUCUUCUGAAUCUUGAGAAGACAUCUUGACCUAAAUCUGCGGCAGACAACAUGCUCGAAACAUCUUGACCUAAAACUGCACGAUACGGAGAUCAAAACCAUCUGGACCAGAAGGAGUGCUCCGCAAGAAAACAGAGUCCGGGAGGCACACGAGCUGCCGACAAGCCCUGUUGCCGCGGCCAGGGGGGAGGCCGCGGCAACCAAGCUUGUGGCCGCCUCCUGCGCUCUCCAGACUGCUUUUUAUUUUUCUAAUUUUCCAUAAAUUCCAAAACGGAGAAAAAUUCCUAUUGGAAAAGUUUCGGAGUCCAAUUACUUACUGAGACAUAUACCUCUUGGUUUUUAGGGUCUCAAACAGGCUGAUAAACAUCCCUUAUGUACUCCUCUGGAGUUAUGAUAUUGAUGAUAUUGGUCUCAACAUUUAUGGGAGUACCAGAGAUAUAAUGCUUGAUUCUUUGCCCAUUUACCACUCUAGGAAAAUUGCCUUCCGUAUUACUGAUUUUGAUGGCACCGGAAUGAUAUACUUCCUCGACAAUGUAGGGACCUUCCCAUUAAGAGAGAAGCUUGCCUGCGAAGAAUCUCAAACGAGAAUUGUAUAGUAGGACAUAGUGACCUACAUUGAACUCUCGUUUUUGUAUUCUUUUAUCGUGCCAUCUCUUAACCUUUUCCUUGAACAACUUGGCAUUCUCGUAUGCCUGGGCCCUCCAUUCAUCUAAUGAGCUGAUAUCAAACAAUCGCUUCUCACCGGCAAGUUUGAAAUCAAAGUUGAGCUCUUUGAUUGCCCAAUAAGCUUUGUGUUCCAGCUCAAGAGGUAAAUGAGAAGCCUUACCGUAAACCAUUUUAUACGGUGACAUGCCCAUGGGAUUCUUAUAAGCAGUCCUAUAAGCCCAUAGUGCAUCGUCAAGUUUGCUAGACCAAUUCUUUUGAGAUCUAUUCACGGUCUUUUGUAAGAUCAAUUUGAUCUCCCUAUUACUCAACUCCACUUGACCACUAGACUGAGGAUGAUAAGGAGAUGCAACUCUAUGGUUGACAUCGUACUUAGCGAGCAUCUUGCGGAAAACACCAUGAAUGAAGUGUGAACCGCCAUCAGUCAUCAGAUAUCUAGGGACUCCAAAUCUUGGGAAAAUGUCUUCUUUAAGCAUCUUAAUAGAGGUGUGGUGAUCAACAUUUUUAGUGGGGAUAGCUUCUACCCACUUAGUGACGUAGUCCACAGCAAGUAAGAUGUGAGUGUAUCCAUUGGAGCUCGGGAAGGGUCCCAUAUAAUCAAAGCCCUAGACAUCAAAUGGUUCAAUGACCAGUGAAUAGUUCAUAGGCAUUUUCUGACGCUUACUGAUGUUCCCUAUUCUUUGGCAUUCGUCACAAGACAGUACAAACUUACGGGCAUCCUUGAAGAGUGUGGGCCAAUAGAAAUCUGAUUGCAAUACCUUAUGAGUUGUUCUGUCUCCAGCAUGGUGUCCUCUGUAAGCCUCGGAAUGACACUUCUUCAGGAUCUGUCCCUGUUCAUGUUCAGGCACACAAUGUCUAAUAACACCAUCUACUCCUUCCUUAUAGAGGUGAGGAUCAUCCCAAAAGUAGUGUCUCAAAUCAAAGAAGAAUUUCUUCUUUUGCUGGUAGGUGAAACUGGGUGGUAUGUAUUGGCUACGAUAUAGUUUGCGUAAUCAGCAUACCAUGGUGCACUAUGUGAAGUGCGGAUGACAUUCAAUUGCUCAUCAGGAAAGCUGUCAUCAAUAGGUCGUGGUGUUGGGGAACGUCGCAAGGGAAACAAAAAAUUUCCUACGCGCACGAAGACCUAUCAUGGUGAUGUCCAUCUACGAGAGGGGAUGAGUGAUCUACGUACCCUAGUAGAUCGUACAGCAGAAGCGUUUAGAGAACGCGGUUGAUGUAGUGGAACGUCCUCACGUCCCUCGAUCCGCCCCGCGAACAAUCCCGCGAUCAGUCCCACGAUCUAGUACCGAACGGACGGCACCUCCGCGUUCAGCACACGUACAGCUCGACGAUGAUCUCGGCCUUCUUGAUCCAGCAAGAGAGACGGAGAGGUAGAAGAGUUCUCCGGCAGCGUGACGGCGCUCCGGAGGUUGGUGAUGAUCUUGUCUCAGCAGGGCUCUGCCCGAGCUCCGCAGAAACACGAUCUAGAGGAAAAACUAUGGAGGUAUGUGGUCGGGCAGCCGUGAGAAAGUCGUCUCAAAUCAGCCCUAAUACCUCAGUAUAUAUAGGAGGGAGGGGGAGGGAAGAGGCAGCCUCAAACCCUCAAGGUUUGGCCGAAAUUGGAGGUGGAGGAGUCCUACUCCAAUCCUACUUGGAGUAGGAUUCCACCUUCCCACUUGAAAACUCUUUCCACCUUGUGUUUUUUCCUUCUCAAACCUUAUGGGCCUUAGUGGGAACUUAUUCCAGCCCACUAGGGGCUGGUUUAUCUCUUCCCAUAGCCCAUGAUACCCCUUGGGGCGUGACACCCCUCCCGAUGGUCCCCGGCACCCCUCCCGGCACUCCCGGUACACUACCGAUGAGCCCGAAACUUUUCCGGUGACCAAAACAGGACUUCCUAUAUAUCAAUCUUUACCUCCGGACCAUUCCGGAGCUCCUCGUGACGUCCUGCAUCUCAUCCGGGACUCCGAACAACAUUCGGUAACCAACCAUAUAACUCAAAUACGCAUAAAACAACGUCGAACCUUAAGUGUGCAGACCCUGCGGGUUCGAGAACUAUGUAGACAUGACCCGAGAGACUCCUCGGUCAAUAUCCAAUAGCGGGACCUAGAUGCCCAUAUUGGAUCCUACAUAUUCUACGAAGAUCUUAUCGUUUGAACCUCAGUGCCAAGGAUUCAUAUAAUCCCGUAUGUCAUUCCCUUUGUCCUUCGGUAUGUUACUUGCCCGAGAUUCGAUCGUCAGUAUCCGCAUACCUAUUUCAAUCUCGUUUACCGGCAAGUCUCUUUACUCGUUCCGUAAUACAAGAUCCCGCAACUUACAUUAAGUUACAUUGCUUGCAAGGCUUGUGUGUGAUGUUGUAUUACCGAGUGGGCCCCGAGAUACCUCUCCGUCACACGGAGUGACAAAUCCCAGUCUCGAUCUAUACUAACUCAACGAACACCUUCGGAGAUACCUGUAGAGCAUCUUUAUAGUCACCCAGUUACGUUGCAACGUUUGAUACACACAAAGCAUUCCUCCGGUGUCCGUGAGUUAUAUGAUCUCAUGGUCAUAGGAACAAAUACUUGACACGCAGAAAACAGUAGCAACAAAAUGACACGAUCAACAUGCUACGUCUAUUAGUUUGGGUCUAGUCCAUCACAUGAUUCUCCUAAUGAUGUGAUCCCGUUAUCAACUGACAACACUUGCCUAUGGCCAGGAAACCUUGACCAUCUUUGAUCAACGAGCUAGUCAACUAGAGGCUUAAUAGGGACAGUGUUUUGUCUAUGUAUCCACACAAGUAUUGUGUUUCCAAUCAAUACAAUUAUAGCAUGGAUAAUAAAAGAUUAUCAUGAACUAAGAAAUAUAAUAAUAACUAAUUUAUUAUUGCCUCUAGGGCAUAUUUCCAACACGUGGGUCAUCAAGGACAUUCUCUAGCCUAGACAAGUUAUCUGCUACAGGGUUAUCAACACCCUUUCGGUCAACAACAUGCAAAUCAAAUUCCUGUAGCAGAAGAACCCAUCUGAUUAGCCUAGGCUUAGCGUCCUUCUUCUCCAUGAGGUACUUAAUAGCAGCAUGAUCAGAGUGAAUAAUGACUUUGGAGUCAACUAUAUAAGAUCUGAACUUUUCACAUGCAAAUACGACUGCUAAAAACUCCUUCUCCGUAGUGGCAUAGUUUCUUUGGGCACUGUCUAGAGUUUUACUAGUGUAGUGAAUGACAUUCAACUUCUUGUCAACUAUUUGUCCUAGAACAGCACCAACAACAUAAUCACUAGCAUCGCACAUGAUUUCAAAGGGCAAGUUCCAUUCUGGUGGUUGAACAAUAGGUGCGGUUAUCAAGGCCUUCUUAAGUAUUUCGAAAGCUUCCUCACAAUCCUCAUCAAAAACAAAAGGAACAUCCUUCUGCAAGAGGUUGGUAAGAGGCCUAGAAAUCUUAGAAAAGUCUUUAAUGAACCUUCUAUAGAAACCAGCAUGACCUAGGAAACUCCGUAUACCUCUGAUAUCUGUGGGGCAAGGCAUUUUCUCAAUUGCAUCAACCUUAGCCUUAUCAACUUCAAUGCCUCUCUCAGAGAUUUUGUGUCCUAAGAUGAUGCCUUCAUUAACCAUGAAGUGGCACUUCUCCCAGUUCAAGACGAGGUUGGUAUCUUUGCAUCUCUGUAAGACUCGAUCAAGGUUGCUGAGGCAAUCGUCAAAGGAAGAACCGUAGACGGAGAAAUCAUCCAUGAAAACCUCAACAAUAUUUUCACAAAAGUCGGAGAAUAUAGCCAUCAUACAUCUUUGAAAGGUGGCUGGUGCAUUGCACAAGCCAAAAGGCAUGCGUCUACAAGCGAAUGUACCAAAGGGGCAUGUGAAGGUGGUUUUCUCUUGAUCAGAUUGUGCAACAGGUAUUUGCGAGAAACCUGAAUAACCGUCUAGAAAGGAGAAGUGUGUGUGUUUAGAUAGCCUUUCUAGCAUCAGGUCAAUAAACGGCAAAGGAUAAUGGUCUUUCCUAGUUGCCGUGUUCAGUUUCCGGAAGUCUAUCACCAUCCUAUAGCCAGUAAUAAUCCUGUGCGGGAUUAGUUCAUCCUUAUCAUUAGGAACGACAGUGAUACCUCCCUUCUUAGGUACGCAAUGUACUGGACUUACCCAAUCACUAUGAGCAACAGGAUAAAUGAUUCCUGCUUCAAGAAGCUUUAAUAUUUAUUUUCUCACGACCUCUUUCAUCCUAGGAUUUAAUCUCCUUUGAUGAUCAGCAACUGGCUUAGAAUCAGGAUCGGUUUUAAUCUUGUGCUGACAUAGAGUGGGACUAAUACCCUUAAGAUCAUCAAGAGUAUAUCCAAUAGCCUCACGGUGCUUCCUCAAAGUUUUAAUAACUUCUUCUCUUCGUGAUUCGAGAGGUGAGCACUAAUAAUAACAGGAUAUAUCUCCUUCUCAUCAAGAUAAGCAUACUUAAGAGUAUAUGGUAACUGUUUUAGCUCGAACACAGGAUCACCCUUUGGUGGGGGAGGAUCCUCAAGCAGUUCAACAGGCAGAUUAUUCUUGAGAAUAGGAUAUUGUUCUAAAACAAUUUUAUCUAUCUCAUCUCUUUCCUCCAUAUGCAUAUCAUUUUCAUGCUCAAGCAGAUAUUGCUCUAAAGGAUCCGUAGGAGGUACGGCAAUAGAGGCAAGAGCAAUGAUUUCAUCCCUACCAGACGACUCUUUUUCAUGGGGUUGUCUUCCAAACUUGGAGAAGUUAAAUUCAUGAGACACACCUUCGAAAGUAACAGUGACAGUCUGUUUAAUGCAAUCAAUGUGAGCAUUGACAGUGUUGAGAAAGGGUCUACCAAAUAUGAUGGGACAAAAGCUAUCUUGUGCAGUACCAAGGACGAGGAAAUCAGUAGGAUACUUUGUCUUACCACACAGGACUUCUAUGUCUCUCACAAUUCCUAGAGGGCAAAUAGUGUCUCUAUCAGCUAGCAUAAUAGUGACAUCAAUCGGUUCUAACUCAGCAGGUGCAAUCUCAUCUUUGAUUUUGUUGGGGAACGUCGCAAGGGAAACAAAAAUUUUCCUACGCGCACGAAGACCUAUCAUGGUGAUGUCCAUCUACGAGAGGGGAUGAGUGAUCUACGUACCCUUGUAGACCGUACAAAAGAAGCGUUAGAGAACGCGGUUGAUGUAGUGGAACGUCCUCACGUCCCUCGAUCCGCCCCGCGAACAAUCCCGCGAUCAGUCCCACGAUCUAGUACCGAACGGACGGCACCUCCACGUUCAGCACACGUACAGCUUGACGAUGAUCUCGGCCUUCUUGAUCCAGCAAGAGAGACGGAGAGGUAGAAGAGUUCUCCGGCAGCGUGACGGCGCUCCGGAGGUUGGUGAUGACCUUGUCUCAGCAGGGCUCCGCCCGAGCUCCGCAGAAACGCGAUCUAGAGGAAAAACCGUGGAGGUAUGUGGUCGGGCUGCCGUGGAAAAGUCGUCUCAAAUCAGCCCUAAAACCUCCGUAUAUAUAGGUGGGAGGGAGGGGGCCUUGCCUUGGGGUCCAAGGACCCUCAAGGGGGUCGGCCGAGCCAAGGGGGAGGACUCUCCCCCCCAAAACCGAGUUGGACUAGGUUUGGUGGGAGGGAGUCCCCCUCCCUUCCCACCUCCUCCUUUUUUUUCCUUUGAUUUCUUAUCCUUGGCGCAUAGGGCCCUUUUGGGCUGCCCCACCAGCCCACUAAGGGCUGGUGCUCCACCCUUAUGGCCUAUGGGCUUCCCCGGGGUGGGUUGCCCCCCCCCGGUGAACUCCCGGAACCCAUUCGUCAUUCCCGGUACAUUCCCGGUAACUCCGAAAACCUUCCGGUAAUCAAAUGAGGUCAUCCUAUAUAUCAAUCUUCGUUUCCGGACCAUUCCGGAAACCCUCGUGACGUCCGUGAUCUCAUCCGGGACUUCGAACAACAUUCGGCAACCAACCAUAUAACUCAAAUACGCAUAAAACAACGUCGAACCUUAAGUGUGCAGACCUUGCGGGUUCGAGAACUAUGUAGACAUGACCCGAGAGACUACUCGGUCAAUAUGCAAUAGCGGGACCUGGAUGCCCAUAUUGGAUCCUACAUAUUCUACGAAGAUCUUAUCGUUUGAACCUCAGUGCCAAGGAUUCGUAUAAUCCCGUAUGUCAUUCCCUUUGUCCUUCGGUAUGUUACUUGCCCGAGAUUCGAUCGUCAGUAUCCGCAUACCUAUUUCAAUCUCGUUUACCGGCAAGUCUCUUUACUCGUUCCGUAAUACAAGAUCCCGCAACUUACACUAAGUUACAUUGCUUGCAAGGCUUGUGUGUGAUGUUGUAUUACCGAGUGGGCCCCGAGAUACCUCUCCGUCACACGGAGUGACAAAUCCCAGUCUUGAUCCAUACUAACUCAACUAACACCUUCGGAGAUACCUGUAGAGCAUCUUUAUAGUCACCCAGUUACGUUGCGACGUUUGAUACACACAAAGCAUUCCUCCGGUGUCAGUGAGUUAUAUGAUCUCAUGGUCAUAGGAAUAAAUACUUGACACGCAGAAAACAGUAGCAACAAAAUGACACGAUCAACAUGCUACAUCUAUUAGUUUGGGUCUAAUCCAUCACGUGAUUCUCCCAAUGACGUGAUCCAGUUAUCAAGCAACAACACCUUGUUCAUAAUCAGAAGACACUGACUAUCAUUGACUAACUGGCUAGCCAACUAGAGGCAUGCUAGGGACGGUGUUUUGUCUAUGUAUCCACACAUGUAAAUGAGUCUUCAUUCAAUACAAUUAUAGCAUGGAUAAUAAACUAUUAUCUUGAUACAGGAAUUAUAAUAAUAACUACAUUUAUUAUUGCCUCUAGGGCAUAAUUCCAACAGUCUCCCACUUGCACUAGAGUCAAUAAUCCAGCCCUCACAUCACCAUGUGAAUUACAUUGUAAUAAAUCUAACACCCAUACAGUUCUGGUGUCGAUCAUGUUUUGGCCGUGGAAGAGGUUUAGUCAGCGGGUCUGCUACAGUCAGAUCCGUGUGCACUUUGCAUAUAUUCACGUCCUCUUCCUCGACGUAGUCGCGGAUGAGGUUGAAGCGUCGUUUGAUGUGUCUAGUCUUCUUGUGAAAACGCGGUUCCUUUGCUAAGGCAAUGGCACCCGUGUUGUCACAGAACAAGGUUAUUGGAUCCAGUGCACUUGGCACCACUCCAAGAUCCGUCAUGAACUGCUUCAUCCAGACACCCUCCUUAGUUGCCUCCGAGGCAGCCAUGUACUCCGCUUCACAUGUAGAAUCUGCUACGACGCUUUGCUUGGAACUGCACCAGCUUACUGCACCCCCAUUAAGAAUAAAUACGUAUCCGGUUUGCGACUUAGAGUCGUCCGGAUCUGUGUUAAAGCUUGCAUCGAUGUAACCUUUUACGGCGAGCUCUUCGUCACCUCCAUACACGAGAAACAUCUCCUUAGUCCUUUUCAGGUACUUCAGGAUAUUCUUGACCGUUGUCCAGUGAUCCACUCCUGGAUUACUCUGGAACCUACCUGCCAUACUUAUGGCCAGGCUAACAUCCGGUCUAGUGCACAGCAUCGCAUACAUGAUAGAACCUAUGGCUGAAGCAUAGGGGACGGAGCGCAUAUGCUCUCUAUCUUCAUCAGUUGCUGGGCACUGAGUCUUACUCAAUCUCGUACCUUGUAAAACUGGCAAGAACCCUUUCUUGGAUUGUUCCAUUUUGAACCUCUUCAAAACUUUAUCAAGGUAUGUGCUUUGUGAAAGUCCUAUCAGGCGUUUUGAUCUAUCCCUAUAGAUCUUAAUGCCUAGAUUGUAAGCAGCUUCUCCUAGGUCCUUCAUAGAGAAACUUUUAUUCAAGUAACCUUUUAUGCUCUCCAAAAGCUCUACGUUGUUUCCAAUCAGUAAUAUGUCAUCCACAUAUAAUAUUAGAAACGCCACAGAGCUCCCACUCACUUUCUUGUAAAUACAAGAUUCUCCAACCACUUGUAUAAACCCAAAUGCUUUGAUCACCUCAUCAAAGCGUUUGUUCCAACUCCGAGAUGCUUGCACCAGUCCAUAAAUGGAUCGCUGGAGCUUGCACACCUUGUCAGCAUUUUUAGGAUCGACAAAACCUUCGGGUUGCAUCAUAUACAACUCUUCCUUAAGGAAACCGUUAAGGAACACCGUUUUGACAUCCAUCUGCCAGAUUUCAUAAUCGAAAAAUGCAGCUAUUGCUAACAUGAUUCUGACGGACUUAAGCAUCGCUACGGGUGAGAAAGUCUCAUCGUAGUCAACUCCUGGAACUUGUGAAAAACCCUUUGCCACAAGUCGAGCUUUAUAAACGGUCACAUUACCGUCAGCGUCCGUCUUCUUCUUAAAGAUCCAUUUGUUCUAAAUAGCCUUGCGGCCCUCAGGUAGUAUCUCCAAAGUCCACACUUUGUUCUCAUAAAUGGAUCCUAUCUCGGAUUUCAUGGCUUCUAGCCAUUUGUUGGAAUCUGGGCCCACCAUUGCUUCUUCAUAAUUUGCAGGUUCAUUGUUGUCUAACAACAUGAUUGAUAAGACGGGAUUACCGUACCACUCUGGAGCAGCGCGUGAUCUCGUCGACCUGCGUGGUUCAACAGAAACUUGAACUGGAGUUUCAUGAUCAUCAUCAUUAACUUCCUCCUCAACCGGCGUCGCAACGACAGAGGUUUCCCCUUGCCCUGCGCCACUAUCCAGAGGGAUGAGAGGUUCGACAACCUCGUCAAGUUCUAUCUUCCUCCCACUCAAUUCUCUCGAGAGAAACUCCUUCUCGAGAAAAGCUCCGUUUUUAGCAACAAACACUUUGCCCUCGGAUUUGAGAUAGAAGGUGUACCCAACUGUCUCUUUUGGGUAACCUAUGAAGACGCACUUUUCCGCUUUGGGUUCCAGCUUUUCAGGCUGAAGCUUUUUGACAUAAGCAUCACAUCCCCAAACUUUAAGAAACGACAACUUUGGCCUUUUGCCGUACCACAGUUCGUAUGGUGUCGUCUCAACGGAUUUUGAUGGUGCCCUAUUUAAAGUGAAUGCAGCUGUUUCUAAUGCAUAACCCCAAAAUGAUAACGGCAAAUCAGUAAGAGACAUCAUAGAUCGCACCAUCUCUAACAAAGUACGAUUACGACGUUCGGACACACCAUUACGCUGUGGUGUUCCAGGCGGUGUUAACUGCGAAACAAUUCCACAUUGUCUUAAGUGAGCACCAAACUCGAAACUCAGAUAUUCACCCCCACGAUCAGACCGUAGGAACUUGAUCUUCUUGUUACGAUGAUUUUCCACUGCAUUCUGAAAUUGCUUGAACCUUUCAAAUGUUUCAGACUUGUGCUUCAUCAAGUAGACAUAACCAUAUCUACUUAAAUCGUCAGUGAAGGUGAGAAAAUAACGAUAUCCGCCGCGUGCCUCUACGCUCAUUGGACCACACACAUCGGUAUGUAUGAUUUCCAACAAGUCACUUGCACGCUCCAUUGUUCCGGAGAACGGAGUCUUAGUCAUCUUGCCCAUGAGGCAUGGUUCGCACGUGUCAAGUGAAUCAAAGUCAAGUGACUCCAAAAGUCCAUCAGCAUGGAGUUUCUUCAUGCGCUUUACACCAAUAUGACCUAAACGGCAGUGCCACAAAAAUAUGGCGCUAUCAUUGUUUACUCUAACUCUUUUGGUCUCAAUGUUAUGUAUAUGCGUAUCGCUAUCAAGAUUCAAUAUGAACAAUCCUCUCACAUUCGGUGCAUGACCAUAAAAGAUGUUACUCAUAGAAAUAGAACAACCAUUAUUCUCAGACUUAAAAGAGUAACCGUCUCGCAAUAAACAAGAUCCAGAUAUAAUGUUCAUGCUCAACGCAGGCACUAAAUAACAAUGAUUUAAGUUCAUCACUAAUCCCGAUGGUAGCUGAAGUGACACUGUGCCGACGGCGAUUGCAUCAACCUUGGAACCAUUUCCUACGCGCAUCGUCACUUCAUCUUUCGCCAGCCUUCGUCUAUUCCGCAGUUCUUGUUUCGAGUUGCAAAUGUGAGCAACAGAACCGGUAUCGAAUACCCUGGCACUACUACGAGAGCCGGUUAAGUACACAUCAAUAACAUGUAUAUCAAAUAUACCUGAUUUUUCUUUGCCCGCCUUCUUAUCUGCCAGAUACUUGGGGCAAUUGCGCUUCCAGUGACCCAUACCCUUGCAAUAGAAGCACUCUGUUUCAGGCUUAGGUCCAGCCUUGGGUUUCUUCGGCGGAUUGGCAACAGGCUUGCCGAUCUUCUUCGAAUUGCCCUUCUUGCCUUUGCCGUUUCUCUUGAAACUAGUGGUCUUGCUCACCAUCAACACUUGAUGCUCUUUACGGAGUUCAGACUCUGCGACUUUCAGCAUCGCAAACAACUCGCCGGGAGACUUGUUCAUCCCUUGCAUGUUGUAGUUCAACACAAAGCCUUUAUAGCUUGGUGGCAGUGAUUGAAGGAUUCUGUCAGUGAUAGCUUCUUGCGGGAGUUCAAUCCCCAGUUCAGCUAGACGGUUUCAGUACCCAGACAUUUUGAGCACAUGUUCACUGACAGACGAGUUUUCCUCCAUCUUGCAAGCAUAGAAUUUAUCGGAGGUCUCAUACCUCUCGAUCCGGGCGUUCUUCUGAAAGAUAAACUCCAACUCCUGGAACAUCUCAAAUGCUCCAUGGCGCUCAAAGCGACGUUGAAGUCCCGGUUCUAAGCCAUACAAGACUGCACAUUGAACUAUUGAGUAGUCCUCCUUACGUGCUAACCAAGCGUUCUUAACAUCCUGAUCAGCCGUAGCGGGUGGUUCAUCUCCUAGCGCAGCAUUAAGGACAUAAUCCUUCUUCCCAGCUUGUAAGAUUAGCUUAAGAUUACGAGCCCAGUCUACAAAGUUGCUUCCAUCAUCUUUCAACUUAGCUUUCUCUAGGAACGUAUUAAAAUUCAGGAUGACAGUCGCGUGAGCCAUGAUCUACAACACAAAUAUAUUCAAAGUGGACUUAGACUAUGUUCAAGAUAAUUAGAGUUCAACUUAAUCAAAUUAUAUGCUAAACUCCCACUCAAAAAGUACAUCUCUCUAGUCAUUUGAGUGGUUCAUGAUCCACUUACACUAUCCCAAGUCCGAUCAUCACGUGAGUUGAGUAUAGUUUCAGUGGUAAGCAUCCCUAUGCUAAUCAUAUCAACUAUAUGAUUCAUGAUCGACCUUUCGGUCUCAUCUGUUCCGAGGCCAUGUCUGCACAUGCUAGGCUCGUCAAGCUUAAUCCGAGUGUUCCGCGUGCGCAACUGUUUUGCACCCGUUGUAUGUGAACGUUGAGUCUAUCACACCCGAUCAUCACGUGGUGUCUCGAAACGACGAACUGUAGCAACGGUGCACAGUCGGGGAGAACACAAUUUCGUCUUGAAAUUUUAGUGAGAGAUCACCUCAUAAUGCUACCGUCGUUCUAAGCAAAAUAAGGUGCAUAAAAGGAUUACCAUCACAUGCAAUUCAUAAGUGACAUGAUAUGACCAUCAUCACGUGCUUCUUGAUCUCCAUCACCAAAGCACCGGCACGAUCUUCUUGUCACCGGCGCCACACCAUGAUCAUCCAUCAACGUGUUGCCAUCGGGGUUGUCGUGCUACUUAUGCUAUUACUACUAAAGCUACAUCCUAGCAAAAUAGUAAACGCAUCUGCAAGCACAAACGUUACUAUAAAGACAACCCUAUGGCUCCUGCCGGUUGCCGUACCAUCGACGUGCAAGUCGAUAUUUCUAUUACAACAUGAUCAUCUCAUACAUCCAAUAUAUCACAUCACAUCGUUGGCCAUAUCACAUCACAAUCAUACCCUGCAAAAACAAGUUAGACGUCCUCUAAUUUUGUUGUUGCAUGUUUUACGUGGUGACCAAGGGUAUCUAGUAGGAUCGCAUCUUACUUACGCAAACACCACAACGGAGAUAUAUGAGUUGCUAUUUAACCUCAUCCAAGGACCUCCUCGGUCAAAUCCGAUUCAACUAAAGUUGAAGAAACCGUCACUUGCCAGUCAUCUUUGAGCAAAGGGGGUUGCUCGUAAUGAUGAAACCAGUCUCUCAUAAGCGUACGAGUAAUGUCGGUCCAAGCUGCUUCAAUCCAACAAUACCGCAGAAUCAAGAAAAGACUAAGGAGGGCAGCAAAACGCACAUCACCGCCCACAAAACCUUUUGUGUUCUACUCGAGAAGACAUCUACGCAUGAACCUAGCUCAUGAUGCCACUGUUGGGGAACGUCGCAAGGGAAACAAAAAUUUUCCUACGCGCACGAAGACCUAUCAUGGUGAUGUCCAUCUACGAGAGGGGAUGAGUGAUCUACGUACCCUUGUAGAUCAUACAGCAGAAGCGUUUAGAGAACGCGGUUGAUGUAGUGGAACGUCCUCACGUCCCUCGAUCCGCCCCGCGAACAAUCCCGCGAUCAGUCCCACGAUCUAGUACCGAACGGACGGCACCUCCGCGUUCAGCACACGUACAGCUCGACGAUGAUCUCGGCCUUCUUGAUCCAGCAAGAGAGAUGGAGAGGUAGAAGAGUUCUCCGGCAGCGUGACGGCGCUCCGGAGGUUGGUGAUGAUCUUGUCUCAGCAGGGCUCCGCCCGAGCUCCGCAGAAACACGAUCUAGAGGAAAAACUAUGGAGGUAUGUGGUCGGGCAGCCGUGAGAAAGUCGUCUCAAAUCAGCCCUAAUACCUCAGUAUAUAUAGGAGGGAGGGGGAGGGAAGAGGCAGCCUCAAACCCUCAAGGUUUGGCCGAAAUUGGAGGUGGAGGAGUCCUACUCCAAUCCUACUUGGAGUAGGAUUCCACCUUCCCACUUGGAAACUCUUUCCACCUUGUGUUUUUUCCUUCUCAAACCUUAUGGGCCUUAGUGGGAACUUAUUCCAGCCCACUAGGGGCUGGUUUAUCUCUUCCCAUAACCCAUGAUACCCCUUGGGGCGUGACACCCCUCCCGAUGGUCCCCGGCACCCCUCCCGGCACUCCCGGUACACUACCGAUGAGCCCGAAACUUUUCCGGUGACCAAAACAGGACUUCCUAUAUAUCAAUCUUUACCUCCGGACCAUUCCGGAGCUCCUCGUGACGUCCUGGAUCUCAUCCGGGACUCCGAACAACAUUCGGUAACCAACCAUAUAACUCAAAUACGCAUAAAACAACGUCGAACCUUAAGUGUGCAGACCCUGCGGGUUCGAGAACUAUGUAGACAUGACCCGAGAGACUCCUCGGUCAAUAUCCAAUAGCGGGACCUGGAUGCCCAUAUUGGAUCCUACAUAUUCUACGAAGAUCUUUAUCGUUUGAACCUCAGUGCCAAGGAUUCGUAUAAUCCCGUAUGUCAUUCCCUUUGUCCUUCGGUAUGUUACUUACCCGAGAUUCGAUCGUCAGUAUCCGCAUACCUAUUUCAAUCUCGUUUACCGGCAAGUCUCUUUACUCGUUCCGUAAUACAAGAUCCCGUAACUUACACUAAGUUACAUUGCUUGCAAGGCUUGUGUGUGAUGUUGUAUUACCGAGUGGGCCCCGAGAUACCUCUCCGUCACACGGAGUGACAAAUCCCAGUCUUGAUCCAUACUAACUCAACUAACACCUUCUGAGAUACCUGUAGAGCAUCUUUAUAGUCACCCAGUUACGUUGCGACGUUUGAUACACACAAAGCAUUCCUCCGGUGUCAGUGAGUUAUAUGAUCUCAUGGUCAUAGGAAUAAAUACUUGACACGCAGAAAACAGUAGCAACAAAAUGACACGAUCAACAUGCUACGUCUAUUAGUUUGGGUCUAAUCCAUCACGUGAUUCUCCCAAUGACGUGAUCCAGUUAUCAAGCAACAACACCUUGUUCAUAAUCAGAAGACACUGACUAUCAUUGACUAACUGGCUAGCCAACUAGAGGCAUGCUAGGGACGGUGUUUGGUCUAUGUAUCCACACAUGUAAAUGAGUCUUCAUUCAAUACAAUUAUAGCAUGGAUAAUAAACUAUUAUCUUGAUACAUGAAUUAUAAUAAUAACUACAUUUAUUAUUGCCUCUAGGGCAUAAUUCCAACAGAUUUCAUCAUAUAGGGAACGGUGUAUUGCACUAACACUAGCACCCAUAUCACAUAAACCGUGGUAACAGUGAUCUGCUAUCUUGACAGAAACAACGGGCAGGCCAACUACAUGUCCGUAGUUGUCUUUCGCGUGAGGUUUAGCAAUUCUAGUGGAGUCCUCACAGAAUUUGAUAACAUGCCCGUCUAUGUCUUCGGCUAAGAGAUCUUUGAUAAUAGCAACACUAGGUUAAAGUCUAAUUUCCUCACGGGGUGCAAGUGGUCUAAUGUAACCCCUACGUAUCACAGUUGGAGCUUUAGAAUAAUCCUUUAUCCUAGCAGGGUAAGGUGGUUUCUCAGCGUAGGCACAAGGAACAACAAGAUCACUAAAAGCAAUGACUUUCUCCUCAACUAGAUUGGUUUUGGCUAUGUUGCUUUCUACAGGAGGAUGAUAUUUAAACCACUUCUCUUUGGGAAGAUUAACAUGAGCACCAAAAGAUUCACAUAGAGAAGCUAUUAUCUCAGAGUCAAGUCCAUACUUAGCGCUAAAAUCUCUAGAAGUGUUUGUCUCAACAAAAGAUUUAACGCAAUCAAACUGGAAAUUCAUACUUGGCUCCUUACCUUCUUCCAGCUCCCAAUCUUCAGAGUUACGUUUGAUUAUUUCCAAUAAAUUCCACUUGUGGUCAAUAUCCUUCUUCAUAAAAGAACCAGUACAAGAAGUGUCAAGCAUGGUACGAUCUUCAUGAGAAAGCCGAGCAUAAAAGUUUUGAGUGAUAAUUUCUCUCGAGAGCUCAUGAUUGGGGUAUGAAUAUAGCAUUGAUUUAAGCCUCCCCCAAGCUUGAGCUAUGCUUUCCCUGUCACGAGGCCAAAAGUUAUAAAUAUAAUUCCGAUCACGAUGUACUAAAUGCAUAGGAUAGAACUUUUGAUGAAAUUCCAAUUUCAACCGAUUGUAGUCCCAUGAUCCAGUAUCAUCACAUAGCCUAUACCAUGUCAACGCCUUAUCCUUCAAAGAUAAAGGAAAGACUUUCUUAUUUACCUCAUCCUCGGGCAAACCUGCAAGCUUAAAUAAACCACAAACUUCAUCUACAUAGAUUAGAUGCAAGUCUGGAUGUGAAGAUCCAUCUCCUGUAAAAGGAUUAGCCAGCAGUUUCUCAAGCAUACCCGAAGGGAUUUCAUAAGAGAUAUUUUCAGUAGGUACCUCAGGUUGAGGAACAACUCCUCGUGCUUCCGUUCGUGGUGAAGAUACCCCGAACAAACUCCUCAAAGGAACAGUUUCCAUAGUGACAAGUGACAAUGAAUUUCAGCACAAUAUAUAAAUGUUUCCUUACCAAAUUCCACUUACCAAAGGCGCUUCCUCCCCGGCAACGGCGCAUGAAAAGAGUCUUGAUGACCCACAAGUAUAGGGGAUCAAUCGUAGUCCUUUCGAUAAGUAAGAGCGUUGAACUCAACGAGGAGGAGAAGGCUCUGAUAAAAGGUUUUCAGCAAGGUAAUAACUGCAAGCACUGAAAGUAGCGGUAACAGGUGAUGGUGUAGUGAAGUGAAACGUAGCAAGCGAAAAGUAACAAGUAACAAGUAGUAGCAACGGUGCAGCAAGUGGCCCAAUCCCUUUUGUAGCAAGGGACAAGCCUGAACAAAGUCUUAUAAGAGGAAAAGCGCUCCCGAGGACACACGGGAAUUUCUGUCAUGCUAGUUUCAUCAUGUUCAUAUGAUUCACGUUCGUUACUUUGAUAGUUUGAUAUGUGGGUGGACCGGCGCUUGGGUACUGCCCUUACUUGGACAAGCAUCCCACUUAUGAUUAACCCCUCUCGCAAGCAUCCGCAAAUACAAAAGAAGAAUUAAGACAACGUCUAACCAUAGCAUUAAACUAGUGGAUCCAAAUCAGCCCCUUACGAAGCAACGCAUAGACUGGGGUUUAAGCUUCUGUUACUCCAGCAACCCAUCAUCUACUUACUACUCCCCAAUGCCUUCCUCUAGGCCCAAAUAUGGUGAAGUGUUAUGUAGUCGACGUUCACAUAACACCACUAGAGGAAAAUCAACAUACAACAUAUCAAAAUACCGAGCAAAUACCAAACUCACAUGACUAUUAUUAGCAUGACUUAUCCCAUGUCCCCAGGAACAAAAGUAACUACUCACAAAGCAUAAUCAUAAUCAUGAUCAGAGGUGUAAUGAAUAACUUCAAGGAUCUGAACAUAAACUCUUCCACCAAGUAAUCCAACUAGCAUCAACUACAAAUAGUAAUCAACACUACUAGCAACCUUACAAGUACCAAUCGGAGUCGCGAGAUGGAGAUUGGUUACAAGAGAUGAACUAGGGAUUGGAGAGGAACUGGUGCCGAUGAAGAUGUUGAUGAAGAUGCAUCCCCUCCGACGAGAGGAGUGUUGGUGAUGACGAAGGCGACGAUUUCCCCCUCCGGGAGGGAAGUUUCCCCGGCAGGAUCGUCCUGCCGGAGCUCUAGAUUGGAUCUGCUCAAGUUCCGCCUCGUGGCGGCGGCGAAACCACGAAAACGCUCCCGAAUGAAUUUUUUUUUCUGGAACGAAACCCUUCAUAUAGCAAAAGAGGCGGGCCAGUGGGCCGCCAGGGUGCCCACAAGCCCUGUUGCCACGGCCAGGGGAUAGGCUGCGGCAACCAGGCUUGUGCCCCCCUGGUUGCUCCCCUCUGACACUUCUUUCGCCCAGUAUUUUUUAUAAAAUCCAAAAAAAAUCCACGUUGAUUUUCAGGACAUUUGGAGUUGCGCGGAAUAGAGCACUCAGACUUGCUCCUUUUCCAGUCCAGAAUUCCAGCUGUCGGUAUUCUCCCUCUUCAAAUAAACCUUGCAAAAUAAGAGAUAAAGGCAUAAUUAAGGUUCCACAAAGUAUAAUAACAGUCCAAAAAGCGAUAAAUAUCAACAUGAAAGCAUGAUGCAAAAUGGACGUAUCAAGGGCCAAGGCAGGAGAGCUACAGGGGGCCCACAAGCCAUGUAGCCGCCACCAGGGGGGCCGGUGGCUACCAGGCUUGUGGCCUCCCUGGCGCUCCCCUGCCCUAUCUCUUUCACCUAUAUAUUCCCUAAAAUCCAGAAAAAAAUGAGGUCAUCCACGAAAACACUUUUUCGCCGCCGCAAGCUUUCGUUUCCGCGAUAUCUCAUUUGGAGACCCUUCCCGGUGCCGUGCCGGAGGGGACUUUGGAGUUGGAGGGCUUCUACAUCAACAUCAACGCCUCUCCAAUGACUCGUGAGUAGUCCACUUCAGACCUACGGGUCCGUAGUUAGUAGCUAGAUGGCUUCUUCUCUCUCUUGGAUCUUCAAUACAAAGUUCUCCAUGAUCUUCUUGGAGAUCUAUCCGAUGUAAUCCUCUUUGGCGGUGUGUUUGUCGAGAUACGAUGAAUUGUGGAUUUGUGAUCAGAUUAUCUAUGAUAUAUAUUUGAGUCUUUGCUCAUUUCUUAUAUGCAUGAUUUGAUAUCCUUUUAAGUCUCUCCGAGUCUUGUGUUUUGUUUGGCCAACUAGAUCUAUGAUUCUUGUAAUGGGAGAAGUGCUUGGUUUUGGGUUCAUACCGUGUGGUGACCUUUCCCAGUGACAGAAGGGGCAGCAAGGCACACAUCGUGUUGUUGCCAUCAAGGGUAAUAAGAUGGGCUUUUAUCGUAGAUAUGAGAUUGUCCAUCUACAUCAUGUCAUCUUGCUUAAGGCGUUACUCUGUUCUUAUGAACUUAAUACACUAGAUGCAUGCUGGAUAGCGGUCGACGUGUGGAGUAAUAGUAGUAGAUGCACAAAGUAUCGGUCUACUUGUUUUGGACGUGAUGCCUAUAGAUAUAAUCAUUACCAUAGAUGAUGUCACGACUUUGCGCGGUUCUAUCAAUUGCUUGACAGUAAUUCGUUCACCCACCGUCUACUUGCUUUCAUGAGAGAAGUCACUAGUGAACACUACGGCCCCCGGGUCUAUUCACAACUAUCGUUUCCACUUUCGCUUUUACUUUGCUUUGUUUAUUUUUUGCUUUCAGUUCUCACUUUGCAAACAAUCUAUAAGGGAUUGACAACCCCUUCAUAGCGUUGGGUGCAAGCUCUUUGUGUUUGUGGAGGUACUUGUGACUCGACACGAUUCUCCCACUGGAUCGAUACCUUGGUUCUCAAACUGAGGGAAAUACUUACCGCCGCUGUGCUACAUCACCCUUUCCUCUUCAAGGGAACAUCAACGCAAGGCUCCAAGGCCGCGGGGAAAUACUUUGCAUAUUUGCCAAGGAAGUCCCUAUAGGCGUAGCCCGUGACAGAAGGAUUCCUGGCGCCGUUGCCAGGGAAGGUUUGUUGUCGCAGUAGCAGAAGGAUUUCUGGCGCCGUUGCCGGGGAGGAGGAUCGCUUGCGGAGGAGAGAUCAAGUCAAGAUCUAUCCAAGUAGGUGUCACAAACUCAUCUCUUGCAUUUACCUUUUUGCCAGUUGCCUCUCGUUUUCCUCUCCCCCACUUCACAUUUGUCGUUUUCAUUUGCCUUUUUCGUUUGCCUUUUCCGUUCGCCUUUUUGUUCGCCCUUUUUUCUCGCUUUCUUUCUGUUCGCUUGUGUGCCAUGUGCCUUCAGUAUGCUUGCAUCUUCGCUUGCUGAAAAUCUAGUGAUAUGGAUCCUCAUCAACUUGCUAAUCUCUUUAAGAGAUCCAAUUAUGUUGAUCCAAUUGCUAGUAAGUUGAGUGCACUUGACUUUCUUUAUAGAGUUUUGCUUGAGAUGCGUGAAUCUUAAAAUUGUGAGGAAGAAAUUUAUGAAGUGAUUCAUGAGGGCUCCUUGGAUGAAAAGCAUGAUUGCAAUGGUUUCACUAUAAAUUCUAUUAGUGACAAUCAUGCUAAAAAUAUGCAAAACCCUAACCUCAUGAUGAAUAUGAUAUUUGCAAUAAUAUUGAAAGUGGGUUUGGAGAAUUCAUGACUUUAGUUGAUGAUAAUCCCACUAUUUUUGAAGAGCAUCAACUUUGCAUGCAUGUGGAUCAUGAAAACAAUAUCCUAUGUGAUAUUUACAUUGUUGAAUUCGAAUAUGAUCCCACAUGUAAUUAUUAUGAGAGAGGAAAAUAUGGUGGUAGAAACUUUCAUAUCACUAAAUUACCUCUCGUUAUGUUGAGAUUGCUAUUGUCUCUUUCUUCUUCCUUGCAUAUGGUAACUAUUGGUUGUCUUGACGAUCUGUUUUCCUAUAAAAUGCCUAUGCAUAGGAAGUAUGUUAGACUUACAUGUGAUUUUUACAUGCUUCAUGAUGCUCUCGUUGUGCUUCAAUUCUUGUCUUUUGUGUGAGCAUCAUUGAACUAUCAAUGCCUAGCUAAGGGCGUUAAACAAUAGCGCUUGUUGGGAGGCAACCCAACGAAUCUAUCCUUUUUCUUUCUGUUUUGUGUUUUCCACACUUUCAUAAUUCUGUUAUGAUUGUGUUUUUUGUGUUUCCUUUUGCGUUUGUGCCAAUUAAAACCGUUAUGAUUAGUCUUGGGGAUGAUCGUUUGGUCAUGCUGGAAAAGACAGAAACUUUCUGCUCACGAAAAGAAUUUUCAUUUUUUUCCGUAAGAGCUUUUGAGUUGAUUCUUUUUGCUUCUGAUUGCUACACAAAUUCUUCAGACUGUCGUAAUUUUUCAGAAUUUUUGAAGUACAGAAGUAUACGAAGUAUACAGAUUGCUACAGACUGGUUUGCUGUUAACAGAUUAUGUUUCUAUUGAGUUGGUUGCUUAUUUUGAUGAAACUAUGGAUAGUAUCGGGGGGUAUUUGUUGGAAAUAUGCCCUAGAGGCAAUAAUAAAUUAGUUAUUAUUAUAUUUCUUAGUUCAUGAUAAUCGUUUAUUAUCCAUGCUAUAAUUGUAUUGAUUGGAAACACAGUGCAUGUGUGGAUACAUAGACAAAACACUGUCCCUAGUAAGCCUCUAGUUGACUAGCUCGUUGAUCAAAGAUGGUCAAGGUUUCCUGACCAUAGGCAAGUGUUGUCACUUGAUAACGGGAUCACAUCAUUAGGAGAAUCAUGUGAUGGACUAGACCCAAACUAAUAGACGUUGCUACUGUUUUCUGCGUGUCAAGUAUUUGUUCCUAUGACCAUGAGAGCAUAUAACUCACUGACACCGGAGGAAUGCUUUGUGUGUAUCAAACAUCGCAACAUAACUGGGUGACUAUAAAGAUGCUCCACAGGUAUCUCCGAAGGUGUUCGUUGAGUUAGUAUGGAUCGAGACUGGGAUUUGUCACUCCGUGUGACGGAGAGGUAUCUCACGGCCCACUCGGUAAUACAACAUCACACACAAGCCUUGCAAGCAAUGUGACUUAGUGUAAGUUGCGGGAUCUUGUAUUACGGAACGAGUAAAGAGACUUGCCGGUAAACGAGAUUGAAAUAGGUAUGCGGAUACUGACGAUCGAAUCGUACGGGAAAGUAACAUACCGAAGGACAAAGGGAAUGACAUACGGGAUUAUAUAAUCCUUGGCACUGAGGUUCAAACGAUAAGAUCUUCGUAGAAUAUGUGGGAUCCAAUAUGGGCAUCCAGGUCCCGCUAUUGGAUAUUGACCGAGGAGUCACUUGGGUCAUGUCUACAUAGUUCUCGAACCCGCAGGGUCUGCACACUUAAGGUUCGACGUUGUUUUAUGCGUAUUUGAGUUAUAUGGUUGGUUACCGAAUGUUGUUCGGAGUCCCGGAUGAGAUCACGGACGUCACGAGGGUUUCCGGAAUAGUCCGGAAACGAAGAUUGAUAUAUAGGAUGACCUCAUUUGAUUACCGGAAGGUUUUUGGAGUUACCGGGAAUGUACCGGGAAUGACGAAUGGGUUCCGGGUGUUCACCGGGGGGGGCAACCCUCCCCGGGGAAGCCCAUAGGCCUUGGGGGUGGCGCACCAGCCCUUGGUGGGCUGGUAGAACAGCCCAAGAAGGCCCUAUGCGCCAAGGAUAGGAAAUCAAAAAGAAAAGAAAAAAAAGAGGUGGGAAGGAGAGAAGGACUCCACUUUCCAAUCCUAGUUGGACUAGGAUUGGAGGAGGACUCCUCCUCCCUUGGUGGUGCAGCCCUUGGGGCUCCUUGAGCCUCAAGGCAAGCCUCCCCUCCCUCCUCCUAUAUAUAUGGAGCAAUUAGGGCUGAUUUGAGACAACUUUUGCCACAGCAGCCCGACCACAUAUGUGACAGCCCGAUGCCGACGUUCCAGAAGAUUCCCCUCUCUUUCCGUUUUCGUCGUGUGUCUAUUCUCUUUUGUCGCAUCAUCAUCAUCGCAUCAUGCGCAUCAUAUGCAUUGCAUCAGCAUCCCGUUGCCGCCCGUUUUCAAAACCUGCAUUCGCUAGUAGUCGCCGGUUCUCGUCGUUGUCCGUUCUGAGCCCGACCGCACUCGCACGCGCCCGCGGCACCGUCGAAACCCUGUUUUAAAAGUGUGCAUAAAACCUUCUCUGAUUGGGUUGAGAUUUGACGUGCGGUCGUUUUUUUAAUAUAGGUAGGCCGCCUGUCAAGUUUCGUCGCAAUCGGAGUCCGUCUGGUACCCGAACGGUCGUCCGUAGCGGCACCGUCUUCGGUCUAUCGCGGUCGUUUUCCCUCUCACCUCCGCCUAGCCACUCUUCACAGCCACCUAGACAUUCACGCGUCUGUGGCCGUUCGAUCGCGAUCACGUGGUCGAAAACGGAGUCGGAUUCGGAUAACCCUAGCCCCCUUUCCUAUUUAAUCUCCUCCUCCUCUCAUUUUGGACAGCCAAUCCCCCUUGCCUCGUUUUCCGUGCAAACCUAACCCUAGUCUAUCCACCUUUUCCACCUUUCAGAUCUGAUCUAGCCUCUCCAUCGAUCUAGACCGUUGGAUCGGAGAUCCAACGGAUGAAAAUACUCUUGAGCCUUCCAUGGAGCUCCUCCCGUGUCUCUCCUCGUGCCCGAGCUCCUUCCUCCCGAGCAUGGCCGCAGCUCCUCCCCGCUGCCGGAGCACCACCGGCCAGGCAGCAGCAGCCGUCGGAGCUUCUUCGCCGGGCCACCACCUUCUCCUCCCCUUUCCUCUCUCCUUCCUCUCCCUCUCCUUCCCUGCCUCGUCCUCACCUUCUUCUUCUUCUUUGCAGGUUCAAUGGCCGUCGUUGAGCUCGCCUGUGCGCCUCUCCAUGUCCUAUCUCUGGCCAGAUCCGGGAUGGAGCUGCCAGAUCCGCUCGUUCCCAUGCUCCUGUGGCCGCCCUCGCCCCAACCAGCCUCGUCACCCGGUUGCCGGCGCGUUCGUGCAUCUCCAUGGCCGACGGGAUCGGUUCCCCUGUAAGCUUCGUUCUGAAUCUGUUGCCUAGAGGUAAUAUAUGUUAGACGCUGACUUUAAUCAUGUGUUCAACGCUAGCUGAGUUGGCUAGGGCAGCCGAUCCCAUCUCCUAGCACCAGCAGGUCGAGGGUUCAAGUCCCCGUGAAUGCAUGUUUUUUAUAUGCAUUUUUUUCCUCUUGAGGAUGACCUCCUUCCUUUAUUUUAGUGUCUGUCCAGCCACUAUUAUUUCACAAACACUCGGUAGCCCAAUUGAUCAACUUUUGUUAGCAACCAUUGGAGUCCUGGGAUCAAAUCCCAGUGUCCUCCUUUUUUUUUGCUUUCGGGAAGAUUCUUUUUAGCUUUUGUAAAAUCCAUAUAAAUUCAACCGUGCGUCGGAUUGCGACAAGUUAGAUAUGUAACUCGUGUACAAUUUCGCGUAGAUUACGAAUUUGUAACUUGCAUAAAUGUUUGAAAUAGUUUGACCCGCCGAAUCCCUACAAACGCGUGCUGACCUAUUAUGUUUUGUCCCGUAUUAAUUUUCUCGUGCGUGUCUGGACUGUCCGUAUACCGGAGAUUAAAUGUCCAUGUUUUAGGGACCAUUUUUCCAUGAAUGUUAGAGCGGUCAUUGGUAUUUUUGCGUGUAGGGUUUGCCGGUAGUUUAUUUUCCAGUAUAUAGGUGAUUAUCUCGCAUUAAUGUGUGGCAUUAUUUUGUGUUGCAACCCCACAUAUUUUAUAUGUUUUCGGGGUAGAAAAAUACCAUGGAUUUUUAUGUGCAAUUAGUUUUGCCAUUAGAGCAAGUUAGUUCGUGAGAUAUUUUGCCAUGUUGCCCUUUUGUUUAAUUCGUAGGAUUUAUUCCGUGCGUUGUUUGACGGAGUUGUCAACUAGAGAGUUGAUCUUGGAUGUUUUGUUUAGCCUCUGGUAUUUUUAGUUGUAAUAGAAAUGCAUGUUUAGGUGUGUUUUUCUUGCUCGUAAGUUGCUAGAAAUAGUGCUGUUUUAGGGGUGCUGAAAUAUUUCUAAGUCUGGAAUCUGUUAUAUUUUGUUGCUGUCUUGUCUUGCUUGCAUCUUGUGAUCUGUAGCUCUUUUGAGGUUGGUCCAAUGGAGUUAGUUGUACCCCUUGUGUUUCUCUAGCAUGCUGUGAAUUUUCAUGCCAUUUGGAGACCUCUGGCUUAGGAUUUUGCUGCUGUCAAUAUGCCUUCAGGCUGAAAACUGCACUUUCAUGAUGUGUUAUUUUCACUAAGUCUGAAAUAGUGUGUGAGAUGCCAUUUUGUGUCUUCUUUUCCUAGUGCUCCUUGCUGCCAUGCUAGUUGUUGUUAGCUGUUCGUAGUAAUGCUUCUUUCCCUCUUCCAUGCCAUGCCUUACUUGAGCAUAUCGGAGUUGUGUAGCCGUAGUUGUGGGGCGUAGAAAAUGGUAUGUGGCUGAUUUUGGCAGAUUGUAGUGUUUUCUUGUUAUGCUCGUAGUUUUCGAACCGUAGCUCCGUUUUUUCUUGCUUAGAAUCUCGUGUAGUUUCAUUUUCUCUUGCUGUUUGUAUGUGUUGAAGUGCUCGUAGCCGCCGUUGCACACAUUUUUGCAUUCAUGCUAUCAUAUCUUGCGGUGCUUGUAUCUUUUGAUCCGUAGCUCCGUUGGAGAUGUUCUUUAUGUGUAGAUUGCUUGCCUUGAUGCGUAGAAUCAUGUGAACCUAUUUGUUUUGCGGUUUAACAACUAAUCAAAUGCAUUAGUUCAGAUCUGGACAGAAUUGUAAAUUAACAUGUGAGGUCGUCUCGGAGAUGCUAUAUGUCAUUUCGGACCUCACUUAAAAUGCCUAGAUAGGUAGUUUAACUUCCGCUUCACCUCUUACAUGUUUGACAACAUUAAUAUUACCGUGUAGAUAACCGGGAGUGAACUAAAUAAUUAACGUGGAAUUUCGUCAAUAUGCAACUCGUUGCAUAUUGAACUUCACUUAAUGUGUAGUUUUGAUUGUGUGAAUUUGUCAUGCCGUGACUUGCAUGUAUUUAGCUGUUCAUGCAUCAUAUGUGUUGUGCUUCGUGUGGUGAAUAUCGUGUGUUGAUGCUUGUUUCCGGUUUCCCCGUCUCGAUAGAGUUCCGCAAGCGAGUCGGAUGUGAGGACCCGUUCGACUACAUCGGUUCGUCUGCUUCACGGAGGCAUUCUUCUUCCAAGCGGGAUCUCAGGCAAGAUGAUCAUUUCCCCAGAUACCAUUACUAUCAUUGUCAUGCUAGUUAUUUCGAUGCUAUCGCUUAUGUCUCGUUGCCUACCACUGUUAAUUAUCAGCCUCUCAACAAUGCCAUGAAACCUUCAACCUCUUCAACCUAGCAAACCACUGAUUGGCUAGGUUACUGCUUGCUUAACCAUGUUGAUAGCGUUACUAGUUGCAGGUGCAGAUGCUUCCAUGCGAAAGCAUGGGUUCCUUGUUAUAUCACCAUAUUUAACUGCUAUUUAAUUUAAUGCACCUAUAUACUUGGUAAAAGGUGGAAGGCUCGGCCUUUCUAGCCUGGUGUUUUGUUCCACCUUUGCCCCUUUUAGUUACCGGCUACCGGUGUUAUGUUCCAUAAAUGAGCGCUCCUAACACGAUCGGGGUUGUUAUGGGGACCCCCUUGAUAAUUCGUUUUAGAUUAAAGCUGGUCUGGCAAGGCCCAACAUUGGUACUACAUUUGCCUAAUCACCUAAUAAAUUGCAUAGGGACCCGCCGGCACCCGCGGACUAUUUUAAUCAACCCCCGGGCCAGUGCUCCUCAUGAGUGUUGGUCCAAAACAGAGCAGCUUAUUAACGCUACCCGGGGCAACUCGGCGUUUGGCGUGGUAACCAUAGCUCAUCCGUCGUGUCCUGAGAACGAGGUACGCGACUCCUAUCGGGAUCAUCGACACGUCGGGCGGCCUUGCUGGAUUAGUUUUACCUUUGACGAAAUAUCUUGUGCAUCGGGAUUCCGGUGAUGCUUUGGGUAAUCUCAGAGUUGAGGUUUUCCACCAGGGAAUCCGUCGAGAUCGCGAGCUUCGUGAUUGAGGAUUUCUAUGCGGCUUGUGGUAAUUUGUGAUGGACUAGUUGGAGCACCCCUGCAGGGUUAAAUCUUUCGGAAAGCCAUGCCCGCGGUUAUGUGGAACAUGGAAGCUUGCAUGCNNNNNNNNNNNNNNNNNNNNNNNNNNNNNNNNNNNNNNNNNNNNNNNNNNNNNNNNNNNNNNNNNNNNNNNNNNNNNNNNNNNNNNNNNNNNNNNNNNNNCCCCCAAACCCAAAACCUUACGUACCAACGUUCGGUUUUGGGGGGGGAGAGUCCCUCCCCCUUGGCUCGGCCGACCCCCUUGAGGGUCCUUGGACCCCAAGGCAAGGCCCCUCCCUCCCACCUAUAUAUACGGAGGUUUUAGGGCUGAUUUGAGACGACUUUUCCACGGCAGCCCGACCACAUACCUCCACGGUUUUUCCUCUAGAUCGCGUUUCUGCGGAGCUCGGGCGGAGCCCUGCUGAGACAAGGUCAUCACCAACCUCCGGAGCGCCGUCACGCUGCCGGAGAACUCUUCUACCUCUCCGCCUCUCUUGCUGGAUCAAGAAGGCCGAGAUCAUCGUCAAGCUGUACGUGUGCUGAACGUGGAGGUGCCGUCCGUUCGGUACUAGAUCGUGGGACUGAUCGCGGAAUUGUUCGCGGGGCGGAUCGAGGGACGUGAGGACGUUCCACUACAUCAACCGCGUUCUCUAACGCUUCUUCUGUACGGUCUACAAGGGUACGUAGAUCACUCAUCCCCUCUCGUAGAUGGACAUCACCAUGAUAGGUCUUCGUGCGCGUAGGAAAAUUUUUGUUUCCCUUGCGACGUUCCCCAACAGUGGCAUCAUGAGCUAGGUUCAUGCGUAGAUGUCUUCUCGAGUAGAACACAAAAGGUUUUGUGGGCGGUGAUGUGCGUUUUGCUGCCCUCCUUAGUCUUUUCUUGAUUCCGCGGUAUUGUUGGAUCGAAGCAGCUUGGACCGACAUUACUCGUACGCUUACGAGAGACUGGUUUCAUCGUUACGAGUAACCCCCUUUGCUCAAAGAUGACUGGCAAGUGACGGUUUCUCCAACUUUAGUUGAAUCGGAUUUGACCGAGGAGGUCCUUGGAUGAGGUUAAAUAGCAACUCAUAUAUCUCCGUUGUGGUGUUUGCGUAAGUAAGAUGCGAUCCUACUAGAUACCCUUGGUCACCACGUAAAACAUGCAACAACAAAAUUAGAGGACGUCUAACUUGUUUUUGCAGGGUAUGAUUGUGAUGUGAUAUGGCCAAUGAUGUGAUGUGAUAUAUUGGAUGUAUGAGAUGAUCAUGUUGUAAUAGAAAUAUCGACUUGCACGUCGAUGGUACGGCAACCGGCAGGAGCCAUAGGGUUGUCUUUAUACUAACAUAUGUGCUUGCAGAUGCGUUUACUAUUUUGCUAGGAUGUAGCUUUAGUAGUGAUAGCAUAAGUAGCACGACAACCCCGAUGGCAGCACGUUGAUGGAUGAUCAUGGUGUGGCGCCGGUGACAAGAAGAUCGUGCCGGUGCUUUGGCGAUGGAGAUCAAGAAGCACGAGAUGAUGGCCAUAUCAUGUCACUUAUGAAUUGCAUGUGAUGUUAAUCCUUUUAUGCACCUUAUUUUGCUUAGAACGACGGUAGCAUUAUGAGGUGAUCUCUCACUAAAAUUUCAAGACGAAAUUGUGUUCUCCCCGACUGUGCACCGUUGCUACAGUUCGUCGUUUCGAGACACCACGUGAUGAUCGGGUGUGAUAGACUCAACGUUCACAUACAACGGGUGCAAAACAGUUGCGCACGCGGAACACUCGGGUUAAGCUUGACGAGCCUAGCAUGUGCAGACAUGGCCUCGGAACACAUGAGACCGAAAGGUCGAGCAUGAAUCGUAUAGUUGAUAUGAUUAGCAUAGAGAUGCUUACCACUGAAACUAUUCUCGACUCACGUGAUGAUCGGACUUGAGAUAGUGGAUUUGGAUCAUGUACCACUCAAAUUACUAGAGAGAUGUACUUUUUGAGUGGGAGUUCUUAAGUAAUAUGAUUAAUUGAACUAAUUGUCAUGAACAUAGUCUAAUGGUCUUUGCGAAUUAUGAUGUAGCUUGCGCUAUAGCUCUACCUUUUUUAUAUGUUCCUAGAGAAAAUUUAGUUGAAAAUUGAUAGUAGCAAACUUUGCAGACUGAGUCUGUAAAACCGAGGAUUGUCCUCGUUGCUACGCAGAAGGCUUAUGUCCUUAAUGCACCACUCGGUGUGCUGCACCUCGAGCGUCGUCUGUGGAUGCUAUGAACAUCCGACAUACACGUUGCUGAUGACUACACGAUAGUUCAGUGCAAAAUACUUAAUGGCUUAGAAGCAAGGCGUCGAAAACGUUGUAAAACGUCACGGAACAUAAGUGAUGUUCUAAAGAGAUGAAAUUUGUGAUUUCAUGCUUGUGCCCUUGUUAAGAGGUACGAGACCUCCGACAAGAUUCUUUGUCCACAAACCACAGGAGAAAAGGCUCAAUCGUUGAGCAUGUGCUCAGAUUGUCUGAGUACGACAAUCGCUUGAAUCAAGUGGGAGUUAAUCUUCCAGAUGAGAUAGUGAUAGUUCUCCAAAGUCACUGCCACCAAGCUGUGAGAGCUUCGUGAUGAACUAUAACAUAUCAAGGAUACAUACAAUGAUCCUUGAGCGAUUCACGAUGUUUGACACUGCGAAAGUAGAAAUCAAGAAGGAGCAUCAAUAGUUGAUGGUUUGUGAAACCACUAAGUUUCAAGAAAGGCAAGGGCUAGAAGGGAUACUUCGUGAAACGGCAAAACAGUUGCUGCACUGAUGAAGAGACCCAAGAUUGAACCCAAACCCAAGACUAAGUGCUUCUAUAAUGAGGGGAACAAUCACCGAGGCGGAGCAACUCAAGAUACUUGGUAAAUAAGAAGGCUGGCAAAAGUCGAAAGAAGAGUGUUUGAUGUGCAUGAUGUUGAUGUGUACUUUACUAGUACUCCUAGUAGCACGAGGGUAUUGGAUACCGGUUCGGUUGCUAAGUGAUUAGUGACGCGAAAUGAAAGCUACGGCAUAAACGGAGACUAGCUAAAGGCGAGGUGACAAUACGUGUUGGAAGUGUUUCCAAGAUUGAUAUGAUCAAACGUCGCAUGCUCCCUCUACCAUCGGGAUUGGUGUUAAACCUAAAUAAUUGUUAUUUGGUGCUUGCGUUAAGCAUGAACAUGAUUGGAUCGUGUUUAUCGCAAUACGAUUGUUCAUUUAAGGAGAAUAAUGGUUACUCUAUUCUCUUGAAUAUUCACCUUCAAUGGUUUAUUGAAUCUCGAUCGUAGUGUUACACAUGUUCAUGAUAUUGGUGCCAAAAGAUACGAGUUAAUGAUGAUAGUACCACUUACUUGUGGCUCUGCCGCUUGAGUCAUGUUAGUAUAAAUUGCAUGAAGAGGCUCCAUGCUGAUGGAUCUUCGUACUCACCUCAUUUCAAAUCACUAGUGACAUGCAAAUCAUACCACAUGAGCAAGGCCUUGUUUUCAUUGAGAUGAAAUAAGAUAGUAACUUGUUGGAAGUGAUACAUUUUGAUGUAUGCAGUCCAAUGGGUGCUGAGGCACGUAGUGGAUAUCAUUAUGUUCUUACUUCACUGACGAUUUGAGUAGAUACAGGAGUAUUUACUUAAUGAAUCACAAGUCUGAAAUGUUGAAAAGUUCAAUUCCGUUUCAGAGUGAAGUUCGUCGUAACAAGAGGAUAAACUGUCUACGAUAUGAUCAUGGAAAUGAAUAUCUGAGUUACGAGUUUUGGUACACAGUUAAGACAAUGUGGAAAUUGUUUCGCAGUUCAUGCCACCUGGAACAUCAUAGUGUGAUGAUGUGUCUGAACGUCAUAGCCACGCACUAUUUGGUAUGGUGCAUACUAUGAUGUCUCUUAUCGAAUUACCACUAUCGUUUAUGGGUUAUGCAUUAGAGACAACCGCACUCACUUUAAAUAGGGCACCGCAUAUUUCCGUUGAGAUGACACAGUAUAGACUGAGGUUUAGAGAAAUCUAAACUGUCGUUUCUUGAAAGUUUGGGGCUUCGACACUUAUGUGAAGAAGUUUCAGUCUGAUAAGCUCGAACCCAAAGCGGAUAAAUGCAUCUUCAUAAGGAUAUCCAAAACAGUUGGGUACAUCUCCUAUCUCAGAUUCGAAAGCAAAGUGUUUGUUUCUAGAAACGGAUCCUUUCUCGAGGAAAGGUUUCUCUCGAAAGAAUUGAGUGGGAGGGUAGUAGAACUUGAUGAGGUUGUUGAACCAUCACUUCAACCAGUGUAUAGCAGGGCGCAGGAAGUUGUUCAUGUGGCGCCUACACCAAUUGAAGUGGAAGCUGAUGAUGAUGAUCAUUGAGCUUCGAAUCAAGUUACUACAAACCUCGUAGGUCGACAAGGUCGCGUACUGCUGCAGAGUAGUACGGUAACCCUGUCUUGGAGGUCAUGUUGUUGAGCAACAGUGAACCUACGAGUUAUGGAGAAAGCGAUGGUGGGCCCAGAUUCCGACAAAUGGCUGGAAGCCAUGAAAUCCGAGAGAGGAUCCAUGUGUGAAAACAAAGUGUAGACUUUGGUAGAACUACUUGAUGGUCAUAGGACUAUUGAGUAAAAUGGAUCUUUAAAAGAAGACAGACGAUGAUGGUGAUAAGUCACUAUUAAGAAACGCUCGACUUGUCGCAAAGAUGUUUUCGAUAAGAUCAAACAGUUGACUAUGAUGAGACUUUCUCACUCGUAGCGAUGCUAAAAGUCUGUUAGAAUUAUGUUAGUUGUUGAUGCAUUAUUUAUGAAAUAUUGCACGUAGGAUGUCAAAACAUUGUUUUCUCGACGGUUUCCUUGAGCAAACAUUGUAUGUGAUACAACUAGAAGGUUUUGUAGAUCCUAAAGAUACUAGCAAGUAUGCAAGCUCCAGUGAUCCUUCAAUGGACUGGUGCAAGCAUCUCAGAGUUGGAAUAUACACUUUGAUGAGAUGAUCAAAGAUUUUGGGUUUGUACAAGGUUUAUGAGAAACUUGUAUUUCCAAAGAAGUGAGUGGGAGCACUAUAGAAUUUCUGAUAAGUAUAUGUGGUUGACAUAUUGUGGAUCAGAAGUAAUGUAGAAUUUCUGUAAAGCAUACAAGGUUGUUUGAAAGAAGUUUUCAAAGGAAUACCUGGAUUACGCUACUUGAACGUUGAGCAUCAAAGAUCUAUGGAGAUUGAUCGAAAGCGCUUAAUAGAAGUUUCAACAAGAUGCAUGCCUUGACAAGUUUUUGAAAGAGUUCAAAAUAGACCAGCAAAGAAGGAGUUCUUGGUUGCGUUGUGAGGUGUGAAUUUGAGUAAGACUCAAAACCCGACCACGGCAGAAUAAAGAGAAUAGACGAAGGUCGUCUUCUAUGCCUUAGCCGUAGAAUCUAAAGUAUGCCAUGCUGUGUACCGCACCUGAAGUGUGCCUUGACUCAAAGUGUGUUAAGAGGUACAGAGAGUGAUCCAUGAUUGAAUCACUAGCAGCGGUCGAAAUUUAUCCUUAGUGACUAAUGGACUAAGGAAUUUUUCUCGAUUAUGGAGGUGGUUAAAGAGUUUGUCGUAAAGGGUUACGUCAAUGCAAGCUUUGACACUAAUCCGGAUAACUAUGAGUAGUGAAACGGAUUCGUAUAGUAGAGCAGAUAUUUGGAGCAUUUCCGAAUAGCGCGUAGUAGCAGCAUCUAUAAGAUGACAUAAAGAUUUGUAAAGAACGCACGAAUCUGAAAGUUUCAGAACCGUUGACUAAAACCUCUCUCACGAGCAAGACGUGAUCAGACCCCAUAACUAUAUGGGUGUUGGAUUCGUUGGAAUCACAUGGUGAUGUGAACUAGAUUAUUGACUCUAGUGCAAGUGGGAGACUGUUGGAAAUAUGCCCUAGAGGCAAUAAUAAAUUAGUUAUUAUUAUAUUUCUUAGUUCAUGAUAAUCGUUUAUUAUCCAUGCUAUAAUUGUAUUGAUUGGAAACACAAUACUUGUGUGGAUACAUAGACAAAACACUGUCCCUAGUAAGCCUCUAGUUGACUAGCUCGUUGAUCAAAGAUGGUCAAGGUUUCCUGGCCAUAGGCAAGUGUUGUCAGUUGAUAACGGGAUCACAUCAUUAGGAGAAUCAUGUGAUGGACUAGACCCAAACUAAUAGACGUAGCAUGUUGAUCGUGUCAUUUUGUUGCUACUGUUUUCUGCGUGUCAAGUAUUUGUUCCUAUGACCANNNNNNNNNNNNNNNNNNNNNNNNNNNNNNNNNNNNNNNNNNNNNNNNNNNNNNNNNNNNNNNNNNNNNNNNNNNNNNNNNNNNNNNNNNNNNNNNNNNNGGUGUUUGCGUAAGUAAGAUGCGAUCCUACUAGAUACCCUUGGUCACCACGUAAAACAUGCAACAACAAAAUUAGAGGACGUCUAACUUGUUUUUGCAGGGUAUGAUUGUGAUGUGAUAUGGCCAACGAUGUGAUGUGAUAUAUUGGAUGUAUGAGAUGAUCAUGUUGUAAUAGAAAUAUCGACUUGCACGUCGAUGGUACGGCAACCGGCAGGAGCCAUAGGGUUGUCAUUAUACUAACGUUUGUGCUUGCAGAUGCGUUUACUAUUUUGCUAGGAUGUAGCUUUUGUAGUAAUAGCAUGAGUAGCACGACAACCCCGAUGGCGACACGUUGAUGGAGAUCAUGAGGAUGGAGAUCAUGGUGUGACGCCGGUGACAAGAAGAUCGUGCCGGUGCUUUGGUGAUGGAGAUCAAGAAGCACAUGAUGAUGGCCAUAUCAUGUCACUUAUGAAUUGCAUGUGAUGUUAAUCCUUUUAUGCACCUUAUUUUGCUUAGAACGACGGUAGCAUUAUGAGGUGAUCUCUCACUAAAAUUUCAAGACGAAAUUGUGUUCUCCCCGACUGUACACCGUUGCGACAGUUCGUCGUUUAGAGACACCACGUGAUGAUCGGGUGUGAUAGACUCAACGUUCACAUACAACGGGUGCAAAACAGUUGCGCACGCGGAACACUCGGGUUAAGCUUGACGAGCCUAGCAUGUGCAGACAUGGCCUCGGAACACAUGAGACCGAAAGGUCGAGCAUGAAUCGUAUAGUUGAUAUGAUUAGCAUAGAGAUGCUUACCACUGAAACUAUUCUUGACUCACGUGAUGAUCGGACUUGAGAUAGUGGAUUUGGAUCAUGUACCACUCAAAUGACUAGAGAGAUGUACUUUUUGAGUGGGAGUUCUUAAGUAAUAUGAUUAAUUGAACUAAUUGUCAUGAACAUAGUCUAAUGGUCUUUGCGAAUUACGAUGUAGCUUGCGCUAUAGCNNNNNNNNNNNNNNNNNNNNNNNNNNNNNNNNNNNNNNNNNNNNNNNNNNNNNNNNNNNNNNNNNNNNNNNNNNNNNNNNNNNNNNNNNNNNNNNNNNNNUUUCCUCGACGGUUUCCUUGAGCAAACAUUGUAUGUGAUACAACCAGGAGGUUUUGUCGAUCCUAAAGAUACUAGCAAGUAUGCAAGUUCCAGCGAUCCUUCAAUGGACUGGUGCAAGCAUCUCGGAGUUGGAAUAUAUAUACUUUGAUGAGAUGAUCAAAGAUUUUGGGUUUGUACAAGGUUUAUGAGAAACUUGUAUUUCCAAAGAAGUGAGUGGGAGCACUAUAGAAUUUCUGAUAGGUAUAUGUGGUUGACAUAUUGUGGAUCAGAAGUAAUGUAGAAUUUCUGUAAAGCAUACAAGGUUGUUUGAAAGAAGUUUUCAAAGGAGUACCUGGAUUACGCUACUUGAACGUUGAGCAUCAAAGAUCUAUGGAGAUAGAUCAAAAGCGCUUAAUAGAAGUUUCAACAAGAUGCAUGCCUUGACAAGUUUUUGAAGGAGUUCAAAAUAGAUCAGUAAAGAAGGAGUUCUUGGUUGCAUUGUAAGGUGUGAAUUUGAGUAAGACUCAAAACCUGACCACGGCAGAAUAAAGAGAAUAGACGAAGGUCGUCUUCUAUGCCUUAGCCGUAGAAUCUAAAGUAUGCCAUGUUGUGUACCGCACCUGAUGUGUGCCUUGACUCAAAGUCUGUUGAGAGGUACAGAGAGUGAUCCAUGAUUGAAUCACUAGCAGCGGUCGAAAUUUAUCCUUAGUAACUAAUGGACUAAGGAAUUUUUCUCGAUUAUGGAGGUGGUUAAAGAGUUUGUCGUAAAGGGUUACGUCAAUGCAAGCUUUGACACUAAUCCGGAUAACUAUGAGUAGUGAAACGGAUUCGUAUAGUAGAGUAGAUAUUUGGAGCAUUUCCGAAUAGCACGUAGUAGCAGCAUCUAUAAGAUGACAUAAACAUUUGUAAAGAACGCACGAAUCUGAAAGUUUCAGAACCGUUGACUAAAACCUCUCUCACGAGCAAGACGUGAUCAGACCCCAUAACUAUAUGGGUGUUGGAUUCGUUGGAAUCACAUGGUGAUGUGAACUAGAUUAUUGACUCUAGUGCAAGUGGGAGACUGUUGGAAAUAUGCCCUAGAGGCAAUAAUAAAUUAGUUAUUAUUUUAUUUCUUAGUUCAUGAUAAUCGUUUAUUAUCCAUGCUAUAAUUGUAUUGAUUGGAAACACAAUACUUGUGUGGAUACAUAGACAAAACACUGUCCCUAGUAAGCCUCUAGUUGACUAGCUCGUUGAUCAAAGAUGGUCAAGGUUUCCUGGCCAUAGGCAAGUGUUGUCACUUGAUAACGGGAUCACAUCAUUAGGAGAAUCAUGUGAUGGACUAGACCCAAACUAAUAGACGUAGCAUGUUGAUCGUGUCAUUUUGUUGCUACUGUUUUCUGCGUGUCAAGUAUUUGUUCCUAUGACCAUGAGAUCAUAUAACUCACGGACACCGGAGGAAUGCUUUGUGUGUAUCAAACGUCGCAACGUAACUGGGUGACUAUAAAGNNNNNNNNNNNNNNNNNNNNNNNNNNNNNNNNNNNNNNNNNNNNNNNNNNNNNNNNNNNNNNNNNNNNNNNNNNNNNNNNNNNNNNNNNNNNNNNNNNNNCGUUCCAGCGCCACCGGCUGGGUCGCCUGGGGCAUCAACCCCGGCGGCGCCGGCAUGGCCGGCAGCAACGUCUUCCUCGCCUCGCAGGGCGGCGGCGGCGGCGCCGCCGUCUCCGUGCUCACCACCGUCCUGAGGAGCACGGCCCCGGCCCUGGACAACACCACCCUCCAGUUCGGCGUGCCGGUGCCGCCCACCGCCGAGUACGCGGCCGGCGCCUACACGAUCUACGUGACGGUGGCGCUGCCGGGGAACUCCACGCAGCAGAACACGGUGUGGCAGGCGGGGCCGGUCAGCGGCGGGGCCAUAAUGCCGCACCCGGUGUCCGGGCCCAACUUGCAGAGCGUUAAGAGGCAGGACUUCCUGUCCGGCUAGAGCGCCCGACGAGGCAUAUGUUUGUACGCAAAUACUGUCAGUGUCAUGAUCAUGGAGUAUAAAAUAAAUCGCACGGCUUAUUCCUCAUGUUCCUGCUAUUAGACGUCGACGUCGUAUCAAAUGAAGUGUGCGCUAAACACUGUUUAUACGCUCCCAGCCGGAUUUAGGGACAUGGCUUACGGCGAUUAGUAUUUUUUUUCCGACGAAUUCACAAAGCUUUAUUAAUACUAGCAAAAGGGCCCGUGCGUUGCAACGGGAGAAAGAAAAUACCACACGCUUUUAAUCUUUUUAUAAUCAUUUUGAUUUAUUAGAAUAAUAAGUUAACUAACUAAUGUAGCCAGUCCUAUCCUAUUUUGUUGAGAAAUCAACCCGUCCAUUGUUAAUUCCACCGUGAUGAGAAAUCGAACGGGACAAGCAAAGCAAAACAAAGAGGCUACGUGAAUUGAUCAAUGGACUGUUAUCUUAUUUCACCCAUGGGGUAGAGAAUGUGGGAUCAGAUGACAAACUGAAGGUGGUGUUCCAUUUUCUCUCUCUACAACAAUGCAAUCUUACAUUCAAUACAUUCAUUCAUCAGCAAAAAAAUUCUCACAAAACAAAAUUUCUUGCCGGUGCUUGGCACACGGUUGGAGAGCAUGGGGAGGGGAUCUCACCAAAUGAUGAGUUCCUGCCGGAGGAGGGGAUACGAUGAGGGGAGCAAGGGUUAGGCGCCUCUAUCUGGCCAUAAGGAGUCGCCGUUGCCGCGCCAUAACCUCGGAGUUCCCCGUGUGAGCCAUGGAGGCCCGCCUCCACCUGCAAGUACUUCGCUCCGCCGCGCCUUAUCCGCACGCCGUCGCCGUUCUGCAUCGAGUAGACGCAUCAUCCCAAGUCGAUGUAGCUGUCGCGUUGAUUUGAUCCAGAAGCUGUGCUCGAGCGCCGAAACAGGGGCAACAAACGGGCAGAGGUACGACCGCGGAGGCGGCUGGGUUGAGAUCGACAACAAUGGUGGUUGAGGUCGGCCGCGGCGACGAGUGGUGUGGCAGCGGCCUGGGCACAGGCCAGGGUGGACCAGGGUCAACGCGAUGCGCUCGAGCGCCGCAACGGGGGCAGUGAGCGGGGAGAGGUACAACCGCGGAGGCGGGUGGGUUGAGAUCGGCAGCGGUGGCGGUUGAGGUCGGCCGCGACGGCGAGUGGUGUGGCGGCCGCCUAGGCAUAGGCCAGGGGUGGCCGAGGGUCGAUGGGAGGAGGCGGUGCGUACGGGUAUAAUUUUUGCAGCGAAUCGUUUUUUCCUUUUGCGAUUACGAGAAGUAAAUGAUGGAGUGCGGGUUGAAUAACAAAAAUUACAGUUUUUUWWUAAAAUGCCAUGAUGGGUUUUCCGACGGAAGCAAUAGCCGCUUUAUUAUUAGGUAUAGACUAGCAAAAGGUCCGUGGUUGCAACGGAAGAAAAAAUAUCACACGGUUUUAAUUUUUAUAAUCAUUUUAAUUUAUUAAAAUAAUAAGCUAACUAACUAAUGUAGUAAGUCCUAUCCUAUUUUGUUGGAAAAUCAACCCGUCCAUUGUUAAUUCCAUCAUGAUGAGAAAUUGAGCGGGACAAUCAAAGCAAAACAAAGAGGCUACCUGAAUUGAUCAAUGGACUGUUAUCUUAUUUCACUCAUGGGCUAGAGAAUGUGGGAUCAGAUGACAAACUGAAGGUGGUGUUCCAUUCUCUCUCUCUACAACAACGCAAUCUUACAUUAAAUACAUUCAUUCAUCAGCAAACAAAUUCCCACAAAACAAAAUUUCGUGCCGGUGCUUGGCACACGGUUGGAGGCAUGGGGAGGGGAUCUCACCAGAUGAUGAGUUCCUGCCGGAGGAGGGGAUACAUUGAGGGGAGCAAGGGUUAGGCGCCUCUAUCUGGCCAUAAGGAGUCGCCGUUGCCGCGCCAUAACCUCGGAGUUCCCCGUGUGAGCCAUGGAGGCCCGCCUCCACCUGCAAGUACUUCGCUCCGCCGCGCCUUAUCCGCACGCCGUCGCCGUUCUGCAUCGAGUAGACGCAUCAUCCCAAGUCGAUGUAGCUGUCGCGUUGAUUUGAUCCAGAAGCUGUGCUCGAGCGCCGAAACAGGGGCAACAAACGGGCAGAGGUACGACCGCGGAGGCGGCUGGGUUGAGAUCGACAACAAUGGUGGUUGAGGUCGGCCGCGGCGACGAGUGGUGUGGCAGCGGCCUGGGCACAGGCCAGGGUGGACCAGGGUCAACGCGAUGCGCUCGAGCGCCGCAACGGGGGCAGUGAGCGGGGAGAGGUACAACCGCGGAGGCGGGUGGGUUGAGAUCGGCAGCGGUGGCGGUUGAGGUCGGCCGCGACGGCGAGUGGUGUGGCGGCCGCCUAGGCAUAGGCCAGGGUGGCCGAGGGUCGAUGGGAGGAGGCGGUGCGUACGGGUAUAAUUUUUGCAGCGAAUCGUUUUUUCCUUUUGCAUUACAGAUAAAUGAUGGAGUGCGGGUUGAAUAACAAAAAUUACAGUUUUUUUAUAAAAUGCCAUGAUGGGUUUUCCGACGGAAGCAAUAGCCGCUUUAUUAUUAGGUAUAGACUAGCAAAAGGUCCGUGGUUGCAACGGAAGAAAAAAUAUCACACGGUUUUAAUUUUUAUAAUCAUUUUAAUUUAUUAAAAUAAUAAGCUAACUAACUAAUGUAGUAAGUCCUAUCCUAUUUUGUUGGAAAAUCAACCCGUCCAUUGUUAAUUCCAUCAUGAUGAGAAAUUGAGCGGGACAAUCAAAGCAAAACAAAGAGGCUACCUGAAUUGAUCAAUGGACUGUUAUCUUAUUUCACUCAUGGGCUAGAGAAUGUGGGAUCAGAUGACAAACUGAAGGUGGUGUUCCAUUCUCUCUCUCUACAACAACGCAAUCUUACAUUAAAUACAUUCAUUCAUCAGCAAACAAAUUCCCACUAAAACAAAAUUAACUUGUCGGUCGGCGUGUCGUCGACGUACGGUACGGGUCGGANNNNNNNNNNNNNNNNNNNNNNNNNNNNNNNNNNNNNNNNNNNNNNNNNNNNNNNNNNNNNNNNNNNNNNNNNNNNNNNNNNNNNNNNNNNNNNNNNNNNUGCAAGCRAUGUAACUUAGUGUAAGUUACGGGAUCUUGUAUUACGGAACGAGUAAAGAGACUUGCCGGUAAACGAGAUUAGAAAUAGGUAUGCGGAUACUGACGAUCGAAUCGUCGGGCAAGUAACAUACCGAAGGACAAAGGGAAUGACAUACGGGAUUAUACGAAUCCUUGGCACUGAGGUUCAAACGAUAAGAUCUUCGUAGAAUAUGUAGGAUCCAAUAUGGGCAUCCAGGUCCCGCUAUUGGAUAUUGACCGAGUAGUCUCUCGGGUCAUGUCUACAUAGUUCUCGAACCCGCAGGGUCUGCACACUUAAGGUUCGACGUUGUUUUAUGCGUAUUUGAGUUAUAUGGUUGGUUACCGAAUGUUGUUCGGAGUCCCGGAUGAGAUCACGGACGUCACGAGGGUUUCCGGAAUGGUCCGGAAACGAAGAUUGAUAUAUAGGAUGACCUCAUUUGAUUACUGGAAGGUUUUCGGAGUUACCGGGAAUGUACCGGGAAUGACGAAUGGGUUCCGGGAGUUCACCGGGGGGGGCAACCCACCCCGGGGAAGCCCAUAGGCCAUAAGGGUGGAGCACCAUCCCUUAGUGGGCUGGUGGGGCAGCCCAAAAGGGCCCUAUGCGCCAAGGAUAAGAAAUCAAAGGAAAAAAAGGAGGAGGUGGGAAGGGAGGGGGACUCCCUCCCACCAAACCUAGUCCAACUCGGUUUUGGGGGGGGAGAGUCCUCCCCCUUGGCUCGGCCGACCCCCUUGAGGGUCCUUGGACCCCAAGGCAAGGCCCCUCCCUCCCACCUAUAUAUACGGAGGUUUUAGGGCUGAUUUGAGACGACUUUUCCACGGCAGCCCGACCACAUACCUCCACGGNNNNNNNNNNNNNNNNNNNNNNNNNNNNNNNNNNNNNNNNNNNNNNNNNNNNNNNNNNNNNNNNNNNNNNNNNNNNNNNNNNNNNNNNNNNNNNNNNNNNGAGAUAUAGUGAGUUGACUAUUUAACCUCAUCCAAGGACCUCCUCGGUCAAAUCCGAUUCAACUAAAGUWGGAGAAACCGUCACUUGCCAGUCAUCUUUGAGCAAAGGGGGUUACUCGUAACGAUGAAACCAGUCUCUCGUAAGCGUACGAGUAAUGUCGGUCCAAGCCGCUUCAAUCCAACAAUACCGCGGAAUCAAGAAAAGACUAAGGAGGGCAGCAAAACGCACAUCACCGCCCACAAAAACUUUUGUGUUCUACUCGAGAAGACAUCUACGCAUGAACCUAGCUCAUGAUGCCACUGUUGGGGAACGUCGCAAGGGAAACAAAAAUUUUCCUACGCGCACGAAGACCUAUCAUGGUGAUGUCCAUCUACGAGAGGGGAUGAGUGAUCUACGUACCCUUGUAGACCGUACAGAAGAAGCGUUAGAGAACGCGGUUGAUGUAGUGGAACGUCCUCACGUCCCUCGAUCCGCCCCGCGAACAAUUCCGCGAUCAGUCCCACGAUCUAGUUACCGAACGGACGGCAACCUCCACGUUCAGCACACGUACAGCUUGACGAUGAUCUCGGCCUUCUUGAUCCAGCAAGAGAGGCGGAGAGGUAGAAGAGUUCUCCGGCAGCGUGACGGCGCUCCGGAGGUUCGGUUGACUGACCCUUCGUUCCUACGUACGUCCGACGGGCGUCCCGUCCCGGACGCUGNNNNNNNNNNNNNNNNNNNNNNNNNNNNNNNNNNNNNNNNNNNNNNNNNNNNNNNNNNNNNNNNNNNNNNNNNNNNNNNNNNNNNNNNNNNNNNNNNNNNAGCAAUGUAACUUAAUGUAAGUUGCGGGAUCUUGUAUUACGGAACGAGUAAAGAGACUUGCCGGUAAACGAGAUUGAAAUAGGUAUGCGGAUACUGACGAUCGAAUCUCGGGCAAGUAACAUACCGAAGGACAAAGGGAAUGACAUACGGGAUUAUAUGAAUCCUUGGCACUGAGGUUCAAACGAUAAGAUCUUCGUAGAAUAUGUAGGAUCCAAUAUGGGCAUCCAGGUCCCGCUAUUGGAUAUUGACCGAGGAGUCUCUCGGGUCAUGUCUACAUAGUUCUCGAACCCGCAGGGUCUGCACACUUAAGGUUCGACGUUGUUUUAUGCGUAUUUGAGUUAUAUGGUUGGUUACCGGUAMUGUAGCAUCAUUCCCACUCUUCUUUUGUACUGAUUUUGUUUUUUUUCAGAUUUCUUCAUUUCAUUGUUUCCACUGUUUCGCUUUGGUUUCCUUCGAUUUUCUUCGGGUUUCUAUUCGUUUCCUUYGUUUYCYAACGGUUUUUCGUUUUUCCUCUUUGUUGUUUCUUUCUUUUUUUUCUAUGGUUUUGCAUCUUUUUUAACUCAUGUCUAUUUUUUUACACACAAUGUACAUUUUUUGUAUACAUCAGAAAUAACUUUUAUACAUGGUUAAAUAUAUGAUUACCAGUUUUCUUAAACACAUGUUUCGANNNNNNNNNNNNNNNNNNNNNNNNNNNNNNNNNNNNNNNNNNNNNNNNNNNNNNNNNNNNNNNNNNNNNNNNNNNNNNNNNNNNNNNNNNNNNNNNNNNNCGGAACGAAACGUAAAACUAAAACUUACCGUACGACCGACCGAACGAACGUAACCUACUACUAGUGGUGAUCGUCCAUCUACGAGGAGGGAGUGAGUGAUCUACGUACCUAGUAGAUCGUACAGCAGAAGCGUUAGAGAACGCGGUUGAUGUAGUGGAACGUCCUCACGUCCCUCGAUCCGCCCCGCGAACAAUCCCGCGAUCAGUCCCACGAUCUAGUACCGAACGGACGGCACCUCCGCGUUCAGCACACGUACAGCUCGACGAUGAUCUCGGCCUUCUUGAUCCAGCAAGAGAGACGGAGAGGUAGAAGAGUUCUCCGGCAGCGUGACGGCGCUCCGGAGGUUGGUGAUGAUCUUGUCUCAGCAGGGCUCCGCCCGAGCUCCGCAGAAACACGAUCUAGAGGAAAAACUAUGGAGGUAUGUGGUCGGGCAGCCGUGAGAAAGUCGUCUCAAAUCAGCCCUAAUACCUCAGUAUAUAUAGGAGGGAGGGGAGGGAAGAGGCAGCCUCAAACCCUCAAGGUUGCCGAAAUUGGAGGUGGAGGAGUCCUACUCCAAUCCUACUUGAGUAGGAUUCCACCUUCCCACUUCGAAACUACUUUCCUACCUUGUGUUUUUCUUUCUUCUAACCUUAACUUAGGUCCGUUACGUUGGGUACGUUAGUUACUACGNNNNNNNNNNNNNNNNNNNNNNNNNNNNNNNNNNNNNNNNNNNNNNNNNNNNNNNNNNNNNNNNNNNNNNNNNNNNNNNNNNNNNNNNNNNNNNNNNNNNAAGGGUUGGGUUUGAGGGAUUCUGUUAUAAGGGUUGCAUUUGAGGGUUCUAGUCUUUGCCUCAAUCCCAACCCUUAAAACUGUCAUUUGAUAUAUCAUAAUUUUCAUCAUCUCAAUAACAUCGAAUAGUAUUUUCAAACACAUAAUAUUAAUUCAAUUUAUUACAACAAUGUUUUAAAGCAAAUUAUAAUAAUUGUUUGAAUCAAAUAGAACAUGGAAAAGUAAACAAAGGUAGAUCAUGGGACUUGGCGCCGUCCAGCCAACUGCCACUGGUGCUCUACUUGAUCAUCCCGGAGCUGCCACUGGUACGCACUAAACCCCAUGAUACCGACGGCGUAUCUACGAUGCUUGAAGUAAUCUGAGUCAGCCUCACAAUCGGUGACAAUUUUUACAAACAAACUACGACACAUUCGGUACCUUCUCCGGAAGAGGCGAGGUGGGUAUGUCGGUACCUCCGCGAAGUAGUCUCGCAUCAAAUGUUCAUGUCCGAGACAGCGGUUCCGGUAGAUGGUGACUCGCGCCAUCUUCGACCCUCUCCUCUGAUCCAUCAGCUUCACGCGGUCUUCAAACUCUUUCACGUCGACGAGGAGGCCCAUCAUCUCGAUGUCAUUGUCUUGAAGCAAGUCCUCAAUGUCCGAAUCGUCCGAUGACGACCAACCGGAAUCAUCGGACAACACAUCCAUCUACACAACACAAAACAAAAAAUGUAGUGUUGUUCUGUAACAAAAAUACAGGAAACAGGGCCGGCCGGAGCCCACGAUGGAGGAGGCCGACGGUGUGGACGAGCUCAGGGCGGUGGAGGAGCUCGGGGNNNNNNNNNNNNNNNNNNNNNNNNNNNNNNNNNNNNNNNNNNNNNNNNNNNNNNNNNNNNNNNNNNNNNNNNNNNNNNNNNNNNNNNNNNNNNNNNNNNNUUUUUUUUUUUUUUUUUACAACAGUUUGCACUUUGCAGCGGCCUAGAUAUCACAGCAGGAACCGGUCUCCCUCCCUCGGUUAUUCAGCGCCUUUUUUUAGACGAAGGUUUAUCGUUCAGCAGCCAACAAGACUCUGUCCCGCGUACCGGCGUGGAAGUUUCCACCCGCACGGCAACCUCCCCAACAACCGCGCCAUCACGUCGCCGGCUCGCCGGCAGUGGUACAUAUACCUCCUCCCCCCCCACCUCCUCCUCUCACCACCACCAGCUCCCAGCACCACCAUCUCCAUCGCCUCCCGCGCUCCAUUUCGCGCCUCGAACCUCGUGCUCUGACCUCCACCGCUGCCAUGGCGCGGCCAGGCCACUCCACGGCGUGGCUCCCCGUCCUGGUGCUGCUGCUCUCCGCGGCGGGCGCGACGGCGCAGAGCUGCCUCUCCGCGACCUUCACGUCCGGCCGCACGUUCCUCAAGUGCAACCAGCUGCCCGUGCUCGGCGCCAGCCUCCACUGGACGUUCCACGCCCAGAACGGCACCGCCGACGUCGCGUUCCGGGCCCCGUCCGGCGCCGACGGGUGGGUCGCCUGGGGCAUCNNNNNN